UCCUGGUGUUUCAGUAAACCAAUCUAAUGGGUAUAGAUCGCCUUACGAUGGAUAUAGAUCACAUUAUGAUGGCAACAAUUAUGAUUAUGGUCGAAGAGUAUUUGGGGAUGCUUUGGAUAGUAUAACACGCUCUAGGUUGGGCCGAUAUGAUACCCGUAACCCAACCAGUUAUCCUUCUUAUUGAUACUUAGCUUAGCUCUUGGUCUGAGAGAGCUCUGACCUGUCUUCUUCUAAGUUGUGUAGAUGUAUUGGUACUUUGGGGAGCUUGUGUGAGGUGCUUUAGAUUUAGUUUUGUGUCUGUAUGUUGUUCAUUGUUGUGGUAGUUUGUCUCUGGUUAUGCUCCCGAUGUCUGAACUCUUGAAUCUAUGUGUUAUUGUUCUUUAAUGCAUCUGUAUAAUAUGUAUUUCAGUGGACAGAACUGCAUCUUUGUAAUUGUCUGUAUGAAAGGUUCAAUGAUUUGGAUCUUGCUUCUGCUAUCUUUCCUCUUUCCUUCACUUACCUACUCAAGUGCCGCCCCAGCUCUCACCCCUCCUCUUUUCCCUCAAAGAUCUGUGGAGAUGGACAUAUUUAGAUUUUGCUUAUGUGUGAUGUGUGCAUCGCUUAUUGGUUCUUGGAGAUUAGAGUUGCUUCCCAUCCGUGUGUGGUAUGACGUUAUGAGCUUUGGCGUGUAUGUAUACUUGUUGCUUCCCAUCGGUGUGUGGUAUGACAUUAUGAGCUUUGGCAUGUAUGUAUACUGAUACUAAAAUAGACGUGAUGUAAGAGCAAUUUCCUUUGCAUCAUUGAAGAUUUAGCUCCUGUGUUUUUGGAGUGUGAAUGCUCAUUAUGUUCUUUUCCCUAUCAGAUUUGUAUAGUUCAUGAAAUUGCAGUCAGGUGUUCAUUAAAGUGCUUUUCUCUUUAUGUGAAUGAGUUUUAUAAACCCUGGUCAAUGAUUUCGCAUGCUUGCAUGGAAGUUUAACUAAUAAUAAUUGGUUUCGAACUCCACUGCUAUGCACAAUUAGUUAUAUAACUUGCAUGGAUGAAAUAUUCUAAUGUGUUGGUUCAGUUUUUCUACUAUUUGGAAGAUUUUAAUAUCUUCCUUUUUAGUAUUUGUCUCAUAAUUAAUUAAUCAACUAAACUAGCUGGGGUGUGCAGAAGAUAAACCUUGGACACUUGCAAUAAAAUUGGGUGAGAUGAGGAUUGCCCAAAGAUCAUGUAAGGAGAAAACAAUCCAUUCUGUCAACCUACAUGAGAUGCUCCAACACCCCCUUUGGCGUCACGUGGGGGUUGAUACUCUGUUAAAAAGCCGUACUUUGGCUUAACUCAUUACCAAAAGUUGACUCAAGUGGGACGCAUGAAUUUUGGCUUAACUCAAUUCUAAAAGUUAACUCUCGUUGGACACUUAAAUCCCUCUUGCAUGCCAUGUUGGAUAACAUCAACAACAACGUACCCAGUAUUAUCCCGCACCGGGGUGUGUAGUGUGUACGUAGACCUUAUCCAUACUUUGGAGGAUAAAGAGGCUGUUUCUAAUAGACCCUCGGUUCACCAUAUUGGAUAACAUAGACCCCAAUAUUGGAUAAAUCAAGAAUGAGAUGCUCAGAUAUCAUAUUAAGAUGGAUGUCCAGCCUAACUUAACCCCAAAGCUAGCUCAUGAGGGGAGAAUUAUGCACAACCAUAAAUGUGAUAGCCUCUUUCCUCAACCAGUGACGACUCUAACAAGGUAUCAGAGUCUUCUUUUUUCAUUUGGCUUCCAUAAUGAAGUUGUGUUUAUUCUUAAUCUCGUUGACAGUCUAUCACAAUUUUCCUCCUUUAACCAUUAUGUGACUAGCUAAGCAAAUCUCAUAUAUGAGUUUCUUGUUGGUUGUAUAAAUUUGUAGUAGAUAUAGGUAGUAAGGGAGGUUGCAUAAUAACCGAAAGCGUUAAGGCAAUAUAUGGAGUGUCUCAAUAUCAAUAAAAAAAUACGUGGAGAGUCACAAUAUUUUUCAAUAAACUCUUCUGGAUGUCCUCUUAUACAAAAAUGUGGGAUAACUAUAUAUUUCAAAUCCCUCCUGCAUGUGUAAUCUAAUUUGGGGCUCACAUGUGGAUCUUGAUGUGAACUUACAAGUGUGAGUGCUUGCUAUAGGUCUAUUCUAACAUGUGAAGGAAUAUGAGAAUCCAGCACAAUUUUAAAACAAUUUGUGAAGCAGUUUAAUAGCCUAUUUGGCUAAACUUCUAUAAUCAAUUUAUUUUGAAAAAUGUUUUUCUCAAAUGUGCUUUCCAAAAAAGUUAUUUUUGCGAAAAGCGGUUUGUGUUUGACAAAUUAAUUGGAAAGUGCUUUUGAGAAGUAUUUAGUGGUUGGCCAAGCUUUUGAAAGUAUUUUUAAGUUUUUUUAUCAAAAGUGCCUUUUGGAAAAAAUCUACCUUUUUCUGCUUCUAUUUAAAAACACUUUUUUUCCUCCUUCUAAAAGCUUGGCUUAACACUUUUCUCAAAAAAAAAAAAAAAAAAACACUUCUCGCAAAAAAGAAAGCUAUGGCCGAACAGGUUAAAACAUUUCAAAUCACUUUUUAUGCUCUUUUAUACCAGAUGUGGAACAACUAUGUAACUGUAAUCUAAACUGUUUGGUGAAGGAACUUGGUUUGGAAACUAUAAUAUCUGAUUACCAGCAGUAAGAAUGAAUUGCAUCAAUGUGAACCUCCAAUAUGUUAGUUCAGCUUACGGCCUUCUUUCCCCCUUUAGUAUUGGUGUCUUUUUGAAUGAUUGGUUUAGGAAUAUAUUUGUUCCUGUAUUUUGAGAAUUUGGUAUUCCUUUCUGGUGGCUUGGUACAUUUAUAUGUGAUGAGUGCUAUUGAUGUGAGUUGUUUAGUAUGCUUACAUGGAAAACCUUUGGGAAGUAAUUAUUAACGGUGGACAUUGAUUACUUUUAUUAGCAUAUACUUGAUAGCUGAUUAUAUAGUGAUCAAGGAGAAUGUGACAGAUCAGUCAGCUGUAUGUAUCCUUUUGGAACUAUCACGAGUCUGGGUUUUCUAUCCGUUUGGGACUAUGAUGAGUAUGCUUGGACCAUCUAUUUGUAUGUGCUUUUACUACUUUCUUGACAUGACUAGAAAGCAGCCCGAUAUUUUGUUCUUUCCCCUUUCUCUUAGGGGUGGGGUGAGAAUGGAGAGUGUUUUCUGAAAGCCAAAAUCUGUGUAUUCAAUGAUUUAGACUUGUCCUAAUUUUAACAUAUUAAUUAUUUGAAUAUGUGCUUGUUUGUAACUGAAAUCAUUUUGAGAGGAUGGGAAUUUAUAGGAUCAAUAUUGCUUGAGUUUCCUUCCUUUCUUUUUGUUGUUUGUUUGUAUCCAUAUGAAAAUGCGCCCAUGAUGAAGUUCCAAAUGUGUAAAAUAGCAAAGGCAGUAUCAACAGCCUAUGGUGGCUAAACAGUCAAGAAUUAGAUGGAGUGUUCUGGUUAGUAUUCUUAUUAAGUACUUUGAUUCAAGUGUUCAAGUGGUCUGCUUAUUUGAAAUUCUGAUAUACAUGCUGCAGUACAUUUACUUGGAUGAUUAUGGACCAUGUCUGAGUACGUGGUUAAGAGGAGAUAAACUGUUUCUCUUCUCUUUAAUCGGGGCCUGUAUCUGUUUUGAAGGCUGGAAACAAAAUCUUAGAGAUCUUCUCAUUGUCCAUGUUGUACAUUAUUCUUAAAGUUGAAUUUCAUGUUAACCCCCUUUUCUAAUCUAUUAAGAUCCAGUUUUCUCAUGAGUCAUGAUUUAUAGUUCUCUCUGCUUGUUUCCCCUCUUGUGAGUACCUGACUUCCUCUUCGCUACCUUCAAGCACGCCUGUUCAUUCCAACCUAGAGGAGCUUAGUAAUUCUCUCCUUGUGUAUGGAACAAAUGCUGCUGCUUUUCUGUAUGGUCCUCCCGAGGACUAUAUUGUUCGCUUCCACUUUUUAUGUCAUAAGGAUGUGAGGCUAAUUGGUUUCUGUUCACAGCAUAGCAUUUGUUCAACCCACCAAUGGCCUAGUGUCGGUCUGCUUUGGAUCCAUCACCUCUCUAAUCUGUCUGAUCCAAUCAUCUGAGGUAGGAUUUAAGUGUGUUGAUUGUUUUUAUUGUAACAAGCAGGCAAUAUUUCUGCAGUUGCCACUUAAUAUAUUUAGAAUAUAUCAGAAAUACUCAUUUGUUGUACUCUUAUCAUCACGUUAAGCUUGAGGGUGAAAUAAGUGAUCAUGUUUUAUCAAAGUUCGUCCUUUUUCCAUCGUUGUCUUUGCCUUAAUCCUCAAUUGGAUCGUGUCUCAUGCUUCUGCCCCUCCACGUUUUCUUUCUUAGCUUUGGGAGUACACUUGACUAAUUAUUUUGGCAGGCGCCACGUUCACCUGUCUAAAUUUUUCUCUUUCAUGGUUUCUGUCAUCUUUCUUUUGAGGUUGGCCUUCGCCCUUCAGUCUCAUCUUCCGGGAAGACUUGUGGUGUUGAAUCUCCACCUCCCCCUGUCCCUCUCAAAAAACAAAAAAAAGAAGAAAAAGAAUAAGAAAAACAAUGGAUGGAUGGGAAACUUCACCAAGGCGAAGUAUAUGACGCUAUUGGGAAAGUUCUGUUUAAGACUAAGACAUUUGAAAUACAUAUAUGGAUAUUAACAUGAAUACUAAAUGAUUAACGACUGUUUGAUUUUGAUUUAUAAAUUUUACUUUUAUUUGAGAAUUAAUAAACAUAAUAUUUAAAUAAAAUACUAAUUAAUCAAAUAUUCUAUCAAUAAAAUAUUUAACUUUUUAAAUGAUAGUAAUUGGUGGUGAUGACUAACGGGUGAAUGCCGACUAUAAGCGAUGGUUAGUGGUAGUUAUGAUUGAUGGUGGUGGUUCAAGAUAGUAGCUAGUGAUAAUUGAUAGUGGUAGCGAUUGUGAUUGAGGAUGGUGGUAGUUGGUGGUGCUAGUUAAUAAUGGCGGGCAGGGAUGGUAAUUGUGAUUGAGGAAAGUGGUGGUGGGUGUUGGUAGGUUAUAAUGAUGGGCAUUGCCGGCUGUGAUUGUUGAUGGUGAUGGGGUGGUUAGUUGUGGUAGUUAAGGUGGAUGAAUGUUGAUUAUGGUUGAGAAUGAUUGUGGCGGGAGUGAUGGAGAUGGUGGAUGGUGAUAGUUGAUAAUGGUGACAGUUAUGAUUGAGAAUAAUGGUGGUGUGAUAGUGAUGGUGGUGGUAAAUAACAAUGAUAGAUGGUGGCGGCAGUUGAUAAUGAAUAUGGAUGAUAGUAUCUUAAUGAAAUAGUCUCUUUGUUAUAAAUCUUAAUCAUACAUGUCUAUUUAGACCUAUUAAGGGAUUGUAAAGUAAAAAAAAUAAAUAUACUUAAUAAUUAAGAAUUAGACUUAAAAAAAAUAUACUUAAAAUGAUUCACAUUCAGACCUCUGCGGAGUGCUGAUGCCUUACAAGUCUAGGAUUUCACCAAGUUUCCUGUUUGUGUAAUUUUACCUAGGGAAAAGGGUCAAAACUGCCUCUAACGUAUUGACUCCAGUUUAAAAAUGCCCUUUGUUGACCUAUUUUGAAAAAAAUGCCUCAACCGUUAAAAAUUUGGCAUAUUUGUGUCCCUGAGUCUAACAACUAACUGUACUUAUAUUUAAAACGGUAGGGGCAUUUUUUUCAAAGUAGGUUAACGGUAGGGGCAUUUUAAAACUGGAGUGAAUACAUUAGCAUUUUAUUCCAACACAGGGUACUACAUGCCUUACAAGUCUAGGAUUUCACCAAGUUUCCUGUUUGUGUAAUUUUACCUAGGGAAAAGGGUCAAAACUGCCUCUAACGUAUUGACUCCAGUUUAAAAAUGCCCUUUGUUGACCUAUUUUGAAAAAAAUGCCUCAACCGUUAAAAAUUUGGCAUAUUUGUGUCCCUGAGUCUAACAACUAACUGUACUUAUAUUUAAAACGGUAGGGGCAUUUUUUUCAAAGUAGGUUAACGGUAGGGGCAUUUUAAAACUGAUUUGUUAGAUUUAGGGGCACAAAUAUGCCAGAAUUUUAACAGUAGGGGCAUUUUUUUCAAAAUAAGUUAACGGAGGGUAUUUUUAAACUGGCGUCAAUACGUUAGAGGCAGUCCUGACCCUUUUCCGUUUUAUCUAUAAAAUUAUCUGAUGUCUUCUGCUAACUAUUCUGCUAUUCCUUAAAAUGUAUAAUUUUCCGUCUUAGAUGAUUGCCAAAAGAGCAGUGCUGGUUUCCUUGAAGGUGGAAUUAGGGAGGGAAGUCUACCUAUUCAUGAACGUUGAUAAAGUCAAACAGACUGCCGUUACCACCAACUUUGAGAUAGUACUAAAUACAGUAAGCAGGACAGCAUAUUGGAUGGACAAAAAAAUGCCAACUAAUAUUUUUCUGCCUUUAAUAAGCAUUUCCGAAGUUAACUUUUUAAUAGCACAUGUAACCUAAAUCACCAAAAUUCUUAAGACCUUUUGAAAAUUAUCUUCAAUUGUACAUCGUUAUGCCCAAAAUCGGGAAGCUUUUAUUUUAUUAAAAUAUGUACAUCUUGAAACCUGUAUGUUUUUGUGAAUCGAUUACUUAAUUAGUUAUUAUCCACCUUGUGUGUUAAUUAGUGCAGUAGCAAAAAAGCAAAAUCACAAAAAAUAUUUAAUACCUGAAGACUUCGUAGAUUACACUCAAGAAUUGUGGACUAGAAACAAAUGAAAAUGAACAGAAGGGAUAAGGGUAUCGGUCUUGACAAUAAAUAGACUAAUAACUUAUGUUUGAAAAAAAGAGACUAAUUCCUUUUAGGGGUAGUAUUGGUUUCCAAUCGAUAACUUUUCUGAAACGUCUGACUUUGAUUUUUUUCACUAAUGUCUUUUAAAGUCUCUAGACAAAUGCUUGAUGGAGUAUCUCAAUUUGUUCCAAUUUCUCAAGGUAUCUGUUACGUUUGUUGCCUAAUCACUCACCUUAGUUAUAAAUUUUCUUGUAACGUGUUAAAUAAUACUAUAAUUAUUAUUUCACAGUUUGACGGCAACAAUUUCCCUUGAUGUUUGCAGGUACUAAUUUUUCCUUUUGAUGGUGACUUUAUAGUUGAUGUUGACGAAGGUCGUUGUGAAAUGAGACAGUGCUUGUCCUUUUUCCACGUGUUAGACAUGCAAAGAACCCUGAGGUGUUGAUUCAAAAGUUUGCUCGUGCUUUGGUUCUCAAAUUAGAUGGGCUAGAAUGACUAUGUUUUGCGCUUUUUCUUCCGGCUUGGAUGGCUCAGGUGGUUACUAUUUUAUACGAAAGGAGCACGAUGAAACAUAUUAUUGUGAUAUCGGAAAACGGAAAUAGCAAAUUCCACUGCAAUGUUACUCUAAUCUUACUCAUUAUACAAGAGUUGUACUUUAAUGAGAAAAAAUAUAGAAUUAUAUCAGGGGAAUUCGCUAUUUUUGGUUUCCGUUAGCACAAUUAGGGUGCUUAUCGGGCAGAUAAUUAAGUUUAACAAUUUGAUUUAUAGGUUAUCAGAUUAUAAUUGUAAUAAUACUUUAGCGAUCCAAUAAAAUAACGAACAGAUUGGUAUUAAAUUAAUUGGUCAUUUACAUGUGUUACUCCCAUGCAGCUGGUGUCCAAGAUUAUCAAUUCAUUAGUCCGAAGCAUCAACCAAAGCUAAAGGAUAUCAGACAAGUCAUGUAGUCAGUUACAGCUUCAAUAGUACUUUAUAUAUAUAGGUGUAAAAGUAUAAAUAUAAAAGUUCUUAACAAGUUGAUGCUUUAUUCGAUUAGAAAAUUAAGUAAUUCGUCCCCAAAUUAUUAUGCUAUUAAUUAUAAAAUUUCAAUCCAUAACGAGAUAACCCAAUACGAAAAAGCCAAUAAAUUAUUGGUUCGGUUUACGAUUAUGGUUCGAUUUUGAAGAACUUUAAUCACAAUACUACCCUCGCUUUCAUUUGGAUGAUACAUUUCGCUUAUCAAGAGUCAAUUUAACUAAAUUUUGAAGCUAAAUUCGAUUAGCUCAACUCAAUAUUUUAAAUUAGAUUUGAUUUUACAUAUUCAAAAGCUAAAGAGAAAUAGUAUAAGUUGCAACUUUUUCAUAUUAAUAUAAUAAAAAGAUAUAUAUUUUAAAAUGUUGAUCAAACUUUAUAUUGUUUAAUUCCCGAUAAGCAAAAUAUACUAUCUAAUUUGAAACGAAGGGAUUAAUAUGUUUCACGAUACAUUAUACAGGAGUUGCACUUUAAUUUUCCCAUUAUUUCUGGUUUUGUGUCCAGUUGGGAGACGUGAUUUCGAAUUUUCAACUAACGUUAUCUUUUAGUUGUCGAUACUCAAUGAUGCACAUACUUUGAGUUUCUUUUUUCAUUUGUAACUGAAAUUACUAAAAGUCUUGGGCAACUCACCUUACAUGGAGGAAUCUAGCAAAACUUGCACCUUUUAUUGUCUACAUCUAUCUGAAUUGUUUUAUUAAAUUUUGCACGUAGCUCUCAAGUAUAUUGCUCUUAAGUUGAAAAAAAAUCACAAACCUCGAAAAUUCAUGUUUUUAGAGUAAGAAAUAAAAAUUCGCUCAUAUUUCGAUUUGAAUUAUUAUUUGCAAGCUAAUUUUUGUUUUAAUUCCCUCAUCACCCCCCUCCCCCCCACAGCCAGUAUCCAGUACUUGGAUGCCCCUCAAAUGAUGAUUCCCCUCCCAAUCCCAUCACUUUUGUUCACUUAGAAUGUCCGAAAAGAGUUUAAUUUAUUAUUCCCUCUUCCAAUGUUUGAGGAGUACGUGCAGUAUUUGUUAUGAUUGGAGAGUAGAACUUUGUUAGAAAUUUGAAAUGAAAAGAAAGAACAAAUACAGAAAUAGAAGAAGUAGGUUUGAGGCGUAUUAGGUAAGAAGAAGGACAAGUUGUGAAUAAGAGGGUGAGAUUGUAUUAAGUUUGGAGCCGUCUGUCCAAACUUAGUGUUAGCUAUACUUGUAAAUAUUUACGUGGUAAUAAAGAUUUAAUUACCAAAAAAAAGUUUUUUGAGGCGUAUUAUUUUAGAGUACAAGAAGUUAUUAUCAGUUGACUUGGAAAAGUUAUUUGAAUCGAAACCACUUAUAAAAAGAUUAUUGUUAAUUUCUAUUGGAGUUGUAGCUAAGUAUUCAGAGCAGAUUCCACCCUUUCAUAUAAGUCAUCUUCUUGUAGCAGCAGUAGUAGUUCAAUUCAAUUAGAGAUCAAAAGCACUAAAAAGAAAAGGACAAAUGAAAGAAGAAGCCUUUAUUCAUGAAGUGAGUACAAAUUUUUAUUUAUGGCCUGGGCUUCAUAUGGUAUGAGAUAAUACAACAUUUUUACGUCUAAACACCAACUUAAAAACUUAAGGCAUUAUAUAUAGUUAUUCCAAAUGAGUUGGACUAGCUAGCUGACUAAUACUAAAAAGUUGGUAGUAUGAUAUUUCUUUUAUGCGGAUAUGACCCACAACCUCUUUGACAUGCACGUAACAAAGCCGGGGAUUCUCCAUUUAUAAUUCCAGAAAGUUUUAUCCUGUCUACCAACUGCCAAAUUCGGAAGUUUAUAUAAUGCAGGUUAGCUCGUCCUAAUUUCAAGUAUUUACUAUGGUAUCUUUAAUGUCAAUACCACAUAAGAAAUAUUUCAGUUGUGUGGUAUUCAAUUUUUCGAUCUAGAAUAAUCUUGUUCUUCUAGAUGUUCUAACUAUUACUGUUGCGGAAUUCAAAGUAUAGAAAAUAAAGAACACAUAUAUUUUUACGUGGAAAACACCUGGCUCAAAAGGUAAAAAAAUCACGACCUACUAUUCAGUAGGAUUUUCCCAAAUAUCCAUUAAAAUCACUGAGCCAAAACAACAUUUACAAAAACUCUUGGUAAACCUAAGGAUUAACUCUAAUCCCAGUGUGGCACACAGCCUCAACUGUUGCGACACCUUCAAGUUAACUCUAACUUGAAUACUCAAGGUACCUAGUACAAAUACUUUUAAGAAAGCUGAAAGGUACAACUUUAAAUCAUAUACUACAAUUGAACUAGAAUAAAAGAAAGACACAAUGGAAUUAAUUCUUCUAUCUUUUCCAAGUAGCUUCAGGAAUGUAUAAUCAAAUCUCACAUAAAUUGCUUGCAAAAUUGCAUCACCUUUUUGCUCUCAAUUUAGUUUCACUUCUGCGUUUGUGCAAUGCCUGUAAAAGGUAACAAUCACGGUCAUUUAACGUGUUAAUAAUUAGAGUCUAAUUGAUACUCAAUUGCGGAUCUUCCUUUGAAGUUGAGUCAUUGAAUAAUACAAACUCCAACCCUACCCUUUAUCCAGAUUGUGUCCUCUUUUUAUAAGGAGAAUUCCUCUCCUCAUCCAAUAUGCAACCUUUUUGAUCAGUUCAGAAGAUAUUGCUGCUUGAUCCUUGAGACUUAUCUUCUUCAUGUGCAACUCAUAUGUAUAGGUUGAUAAACACUGUGUCUCACAUGAUGGACAUGGUCCCUGACUGAGUUCAUUUGUCAUUCUUCAAAACUUCACCUGAACUUGGUGCCAAAAAAUUCUCCCUUUUUGAUGAUGACAAACUCUGUGCUUUUACUGCUCAAAGAACUUGUAGGAACUUAGCUUAACCAUCAACACUUUAACUUAGAAUUUUAACUUAUCAUCGAGGACCAGGUUUAACUAGGCUAUAAAUAUCACAUUAUUCAGAAUAAAGAGUAAAACACAAUAUCUCUUUCCCCCUUUUGGCAUCAUCGAAAAGUUGCAUACACAUUGUGAAUCCCAGAUUUAUAUAAUUACUCAUGGCCAUUAGGGCAACUGCAAGUGAAAACAUGGUUCAAUUAAUCAACAACCAACAAACAAAAUUAACUAUUAAGAUCAGAAUCUUCAUAGAACAAGAAAAUAUCAAUUUUCACUAAUAAAGAUAUGUUUCCCCCAACAAACCACAAAAAGAAAGAAAAACUUCAAAACAUGAGCAACAAAAAUAGAAAAAGUCCCGAACAAGAGAAAAUCCAUUUUCAGUGAUAAAGAUAUUUUUCCACCAACAAACCACAAAAAGAAAGAAAAACUUCCAAACAUGAUGCACAAAAAAUAGAAGAAGUCCCGAAUCUAGGUCAAUGGGGGGGGGGGGGNNNNNNNNNNNNNNNNNNNNNNNNNNNNNNNNNNNNNNNNNNNNNNNNNNNNNNNNNNNNNNNNNNNNNNNNNNNNNNNNNNNNNNNNNNNNNNNNNNNNNNNNNGGGGGGGGGGGGGGUUUCUAGAUGGGUGCAGAAGACAAGAACUGGACAUACUAAGGCUUGGAAGAACUAGAGGGCUAAGUUUUGAGAAGGUUGAGCAUAUUCUGAAGCAUUCCAUCACUCUUCUCCUUUUCCUUUGCUAGCUCAGCUCUAAGGCCAUCUCUCUCAAUUUCCAAUUCAGCAACACGAGCCUGUAGCCUAGCAAUUUCAGCAUCCUUAGUUUCACAUUUUUGAACCAAAGCCCUAACCUUGCUGUUCACAGGAGUCUUUAGAGAUGAACCAGGUUCAAUUGGGAUGACAUUUACUGGAUAGUCACAAGCCAUAAGAGUCCUGACACAAAAGUGUUCCUUGCUUGAUGCCAUCUCCCAUUUCUUCAAAAGCACAUUCAUCCUUUCCAGAACAGUAGCCAAUAGGAACCCAUAUGGAGUGGCAUGAGCCUUGGAGCCAUUAAUGACCAUAUCCAGCAGUUUGUCAAUGAAAGCAGGCCAAUUUAUCCGUAUUCCUCUCACAAGGCACUCCAUAAGAACCAGGUCCAUGUAGUUGGCAGCGUGCCUCCUUUCCUGUCUGGGCAGCAGGCAUUUGUUAACAAACUGAAAUAGGACUUGUGCUCAGCCUGCAUCUCACUUUUCUGCACAAAUCUGGCUUCAGGCACAUCUUUAGCACUUGCAGUAUCACAAAAAUUUCUAGUGAUUUAGAGAGCAGUAGGGAGAGAAUCCACACAAGGCCUCCUCUGCCUAGUAUAAUCAUCAUAUCCCGCACUGGGUAUGUCCAGAAUCUCACUCAAUUUGGGUGCAUCAAACUAAACCUUUACUCUUUUCACUAUGAUGGUGACAACCCCAUUCUUCACAGUGGCAUUGGCCAUAAACUCAAUCAGCUCCUUCCUGGCCAGCUUCCCAUCCAUUUCAAGUACCAUGUCCUUCUACCCUUGUGUAGCUAGAGCAUCCAUCAAUUUUCUCAUUCCUGGCUUAUCCAGGUCUUUCAACAAUCUUCCUUUCAAAAUCCUUCUUCUGCCAAAGAUGGCAAACCUACCUUGCUCCUUCUCAGAUACCUCCUCCACUUUUUCUCCACUUCAUUCUUCUUCUUUUUCAGUAAUUUUUACUUGCUUUCUUUUUACUGCAGAUCUAGUUCUUUUGGCUAAAGAGGGUUCAACAGAUCAGACUCAGCGGAAGACUUCUUGGAAAAAGUCUUGGAUCUUUUUGGUUUGGGUGUAGGAACCUCCACAAUUGUUCCUCUUUCUUGAUGGACCAAUUCCAUCUCCUCCUCUUCUUCUUCUGCAGCCUCAGAACUUUCCACAACCUUUGCUUUUCCCUUCUCAUUCUUCUUUUUCCCGCUUUCUUCCAGAGCUUUUGGUAACUCUACUUCAUUUUGUUUGACCCUGCUUCUAGUCGCUCCUCCCUUUGGUACUGAGGGGACAGUAGGCUUUGGAGAUGAUACUUUGCUUUUCUUUGUUGACUUGGAAGCAGUUGGAGCCUUUUGUGAGGAAGCUUUGCGCUUCUUUGGAUCAUAACUGGCUCCAACCAUUUUUAGAAUGUCACCUAGAGUUUCCUCAACAGAUGAACCGGGUUCAUCUUGUUGCUUGCUUAGAUGAACAAGCCCUUUAGCAGUCUCCCCAAUGCCACUUUCCUCUGACUUGUUGCUACUCUCUUCAACACCUCCACAGAUAGCAAGAACUUUUUCUUUCUUUUUACCUCCACUCCUACUUGACUCAGCCCCCUUUACAUCUUUUACAGAACCAACCAAAACUAACCUAUUUUCUGCAUUUUCAACCAUAUCAGAAAAUACCAAUCAAGUAUUUACCUCACUAGGGGUUUCUUGAUUUUUGUCAGUGUCAGAAGACACAUGUUCUUCACCUUUGCUGGCAGAAAUGAAGGCUUCAAAUUCAGAGCUGGAGUUAGAUUCUUGAGCAAGACUUUCCUUAUUCUAGCUAGCCCUCAAUUUCUCAUUUAUGGCUUUUAUUAGAGACCCAAAACCCAUAGUUUUUCUAGCCAACAUUUUCUAUCUACGAAACCUAGGUUUUGGAGAAACACUAGGAGGAGUAGAUGAAGACGUAUUAUAAAGGAAUACUUGUGGAGGAGUGUCUGGAUUAUCUUGGGGGUUAGUCAUGGUGAAUUAUUUCUGCAGAAGAUUUGGGAAUUUUUUAGAGAAAAGAGGUGAUUAGAACUGGAGAAAGGUUUUUGACGAUUAUGAAAUAAUGAAGAAGGACAUGGUGAGUAUUUAUAGAUUAUUAUAAUUAAUUGAGGUAACGACAACUUUUUCAGGAGUCUAAUCAAAGUAGAAUUCCGGGGAAUUUUGGAGAGAAAAGAGAUGAUCAGAAUUGGAGAGGGUUUUUUUACAGUUAUGAAUUAAUGAAGAAGGGUGUGGUAAGUAUUUAAGGGUAAUUAGAACUAAUUGAGGUAAGGCAGGGUUUUCAGGAGUCAAUCAAGAGUCUAAUCAAAGUAGAAUUCCAGUCUCUUUAGUGAUUAUUAGGCAUCGCUAGAUUUUAGGUAAAAAUCCCGUUAAUAGAGUUUUAGGAGAACAAAACUGGUUCAAUGGUUAACGGAUAGAAUUUCUGGGAGUUUGAUGAAAGUAAGUAAGACUUCUGCACAUGAUUGGAAAAUAAAUCUUUCUAAUUGUGCAAAGUAUAGAAAACAUACCUGAACUUUUUUAUGAGCAUAUACUGAUGAACCUGGUUCUUCAAGUAGAACUCUGUUGAACGUGCCUUAAAUGUCCUAAUAGAACUUUUUUUGUAACAGAUCAGUAAUUCAUAUAUACACAUGUCACCAGAAUAUACAUAUUAAAGUAUGAGACUGAGUAAGAAUUGAUCUAGAUAUUUACAAAACAUUAGAACUCCUAACCAAAAGAAUUUUUUUUAUUUUUCCAUUUUUUUUCUUUUGCAUUCUGAACUAGACCUUUUAGGUGAUCUUAGUCAUCCCUAAUUCAAACUUGUUCCUCUCAAAGUUUUUUCUACUCAGUGCUUAGUGAAGAUGUGAACUAUUUAUUUAUCAGUAGCACAAAAUUCUAUUGAAAUCAAUCCUUUCUCAUAGUUAUCUCUUGAGAAGUGGUGUCUAACAUCUAUGUGCUUGGUUCUUGUAGCACAAAAUUCUAUUGAAAUCAAUCCUUUCUCAUAGUUAUCUCUUAAGAAGUGAUGUCUAACAUAUAUUUGCUUGGUCCUUUUAUGAUGAACAUGGUUCUUUGUCAUACUAAUAGUACUAGUGUUAUCAUAGAAUAUUGGAAUACAUCCCACUUCAGUUCCAAAAUCUACCAAGUGCGUAAUCCAUAACAAUUGAGCACAACAAGAAGCAUCAACAACACACUCAGCUUUAGCAGUAGAUAGAGCUACUGAAUUUUGCUCUUUGGUAGCCCAUGACACAAGACAUGAACCAAGGAAGUGUGCCAUACCUGAGGUGCUCUUCGUAUCCACUAGGAAACCUGUAUAAUCAACAUCAGUAUAUCCUACCAGAUUGAAAUUACUACCUUUGGGAUACCAAAUAGACAAAUUGGUGGCCUAUCCACUAAGGAACCUGCAUAAUCAUCAUCAACAAAUCCUAUAAGAUUGAAAUUACUACCUUUAGGAUACCAAAGGUACAGAUCAGUGGUGCCUUUCAGAUAUCUUAGUAUCCUCUUGACAACAGUCAAGUGAGACUCUUUUAGAUUUGCCUGAAAAUGAGCACAAAGUCCUAUACUGAAAACAAUGUUAGGUCUGCUGAUAAUAAGAUACAAAAGUGAACCAAUCAUACCCUUAUACAACUUUUGAUCAACUGAUGAACCAGGUUCAUCAACAUCUAAUUUAGUGUCAGUUGCAAUAGGUGUGUCUAUUUCUUUAGAAUCCUCCAUUUUAAAAUUUUUGAUUAAUUAUUUUGUAUACUUUGGUUGAUGGAUCAUGGUUCCAUUUGGAUUUUGUUUGAUCUACAAGCCUAAGAAGAAGUUAAGCUCACCCAUCAUGCUCAUUUCAAACUCACUCCCCAUUAGUUUUGCAAAAUCCGUACUCAACCGAUAAGUAGUGGCCCUAAAUAUUAUGUCAUCAAUAUAUAUUUGCACAACAAGAAGGUCUUUAUCUUUUUCCCUUAAGAACAAGGUACUGUCAAUUUUACCUCUUUCGUAACCAUGCUCCAGUCUGAAUUUAGAUAGCCAUUCAUACCAAGCUCUUUGGGCCUACUUGAGCCCAUAUAGAGCCUUGUCUAACUUGUACACAUGCUCAGGAUAUUCCUUGCUUUCAAACCCUGGGGGUUGUUUCACAAACACUUCUUCCAUUAGAUAGCCAUUCAGGAAGGAACUUUUGACAUCCAUCUGAUGGAGAGUGAAUUCCAUAUGUGCUGCAAAGGCUAUGAGGAGUUUGAUUGCCUCUAGUCUUGAAACUGGAGCAACUGUCUCAUCAUAGUCAAUGCCCUCCCCUUGGUUGUAGCCUUGAACCACCAGUCUUGCCUUGUUUCUUGUAACUGUUUCAUCAUCAUCAAGUUUGUUCUUGAAGAUCCAUUUGUGCCAAUAACUGAUCUGUCCUUGGGUGUUGGAACUAGAUUCCAAACUUUACUUCUUUCAAAUUAGUUGAGUUCAUCCUGUAUUACAUUCACCCAAUUUGCAUCUUGCAAAGCUUCAACAACAUUUUUAGGUUCAAGAAGAGAUAGGAAAGCAUCAAAAGCACACAUAUUCUUUAGUUGCAAUUAGAUUUUAAGGGCAUAUACCUAUAACAUUCUGGGCUACUGUAUGUUGGCUGCAACUUAUUUGAUUAAUAGAAUGCCAAGUUCUGUCUUGGCUAAUAUGUCACCAUAUGAGAAGUUAUAUGGAAAGAAGCCUUCUCUAAAACAUAUCAGGGUUCUAGGAUGCCUAUGUUUUGCAAAGACAGUGCAAGAACAAGAUAAAUUAAUGCCAAGAUCCAAGGCAGCUAUACAUAUGAGAUAUUCAACUUCUCAAAAAAGGGAUAUUUACUCUAUGAUUUAAAUAACAAAAUAUUCUUUGUUAACAUAGAUAUUAUCUUUAAAGAAGAUAUUUUUCCAUUGAAAACUCUUAAUAAAAAACAAAGACUACCUAUGUUCACAAAUAAUAUCCUUCAGUCAAUAUCAGAUGAUACAUUCUGCCAAUUCAACAUUGAGAAUCAUGGUAUGGUUCAAACAAAUGAAACUGGGAAUACUGACAUUCAAAUAGGACAAGUUGAAGGCAUUCACAACACAUAAAGUUCAAAUCAGCAAAGUUCAAGUUCAAUAGCUGAGCUUGUACAAUGCACUACUUCUGAAGCCUUACAGCAAUACACAUCAACUGAGGUAACUACUCAUAUUUCACAUUCAUAAGUCACUAAUACACAACAGACUAGUGCAGUGAGAAGAUCAAGUAGAGACAAGAGACCACCUCUUUGGAUGAAAGAUUUUGUUUCAUUAAAAAUUCAUCAAGAUAAGCCCUAUGCAUUAUCUAUGUUUAUAUCAUAUAAAAUAUCUCUCCUACCUAUCAGUUGUUAAUUUCUACCAACUUCUAUUUCUGAACCUACAACAUUUCAUGAAUCAAUUAAGGAUCCUAGAUGGAUAGAGGCUAUGAAAAAUAAAAUUGAAGCCUUACAAAACAAUCACACAUGGGAUAUAGUUACGCUACCUGAAGGAGAGUCUCAUAUAGGAUGUAAAUGGAUUUACAAAAUAAAAUAAAAGGCUACAGGAGAAAUAGAAAGAUUCAAAGCAAGGUUGGUUGUAAAAGGAUUUAGUCAAAAGGAGGGAAUUGAUUAUCAAGAAACAUUUUCUCUAGUAGUACAGAUGAAAACUGUUAGAACUGUGUUAGCAAUUGCUGCCACUAAACAGUGGCACAUACAUCAAAUGGAUGUAUAUAAUGCAUUCCUUCAAUUGGGAUUUACAUGAUGAGAUAUAUAUGAAUGCGCCUCAAGGAUUUAACAGUCAGGGGAGAAAAGACCAGUGUGUAGACUGAUUAAAUCCUUGUAUGGAUUAAAGAAAGCACCAAGGCAAUGGAAUGCAAAGCUCACUGAGGCUCUGUUAAAAGAUCAAUUUGUUCAGAGUCAGUAUGAUCACUCCUUGUUCUUCAAGAAAACUCAAAAGGUAUCGCUAUGGUGUUAGUUUAUGUUGAUGACAUGCUCAUUACUGGAGACAGCCUAAAACUAAUAAAAGAAACUAAGGCUGGCUUACAAAAAGUGUUGAAAAUGAAAGACUUGGGUGAACUUAUAUAUUUUUUAGGAAUUGAAUUUGCAAGGUCUAGUCAAGGGAUCCUAAUGCAUAAAAAAAAAUACACUUUAGAAUUGAUUUUAGAAACAUGGCUGGGAGCAGCCAAACCUGUUAUAACUCCUUUUGAUUUCAAUAUGAAGCUAACAAAAAAGGAGUAUGAUGAAUAUACAAACAAAGGAAAAGAAGUAGCUGAAGAGCUACCAGAUCUGAAUCUAUGUCAAAAGCUAAUUGGUAAAUUGCUGUAUCUAACCCUCAACGAAACAUUGUAUUCAAUGUUCACACAUUGAGUCAAUUCUUAUAAAAACCAAAAAACUCUCAUAUGGAAGCAACACACAGAAUUGUGAGGUAUCUAAAACAACAACCAUGACAAGGAAUCCUACUAUCUAGUAAGAACAUCACUAAAAUUACAUCCUACUGUGCUGCAGACUGGGUAGCUUGUCCUCAUUUUAGAAAGUCUGUAUCUGGUUAUUUGAUUAAGCUUGGUGAAUCUCUAAUCUUUUGGAAGUCAAAGAAACAAAUAACUGUUUCUAGAAGUUCAGCAGAAGCUGAAUAUAGAACCUUGCCUCAACAGUAGCGGAAUUGAUUUGGCUAGUUAGCUUACUAAUAGAAUUGGGAAUUAGUGUCAAACAACCUGUGAGUGUAUACAGUUACAACAAAGUAGCUAUGCAAAUUGCAGCAAAUCCUGUCUAUCAUUAACGUACCAAACACAUUAAAAUCGACUGCCAUUUUAUUAGAGAAAAAAUCAUACAAGGAUUGAUUACAACAAAGUAUAUUUCUACUAGAGAUCAACCUGCUGAUAUUCUGACUAUAGGACUAAACAGAAUUCAACAUGAAUAUCUCAAUUCCAAGCAGACAGCUUUAAACAUUUUUGCAGUUCCUAGCUUGAGGGGGAGUGUUGAGAAAAGCGUUAUAUAAGGGCACUUUGGUACUUUCCUUAUAAGACUCCACCAAUACAAAUGAAGAAGGUGGUUAAGUUAGUUAACCAUGUAAAGAUUAUAUAUACACUUGUAAUAUAUAAUUUCUAAUUAAUGAAAAAUAACAGAUGUUAUCUUCUUCAUCCUCAUUUCUAUCGCCUCUCUCAUUUUCUGUCUUGUUCAUCUGCUGCUUCUGCUAUUCCACACAAUUUCAAUAUUUUCAAAUUCUUCCCAUUAACGAGUUUCAUACUAAAUUCAACUAUCCAAGCAUUGAUGAGUUAUUCUUCAGAAAUCAAACGUAAAAUCAAAAUUUUAAAAUCAAAUGCUAAAUCACCUAAGAUUUAUCAUAUUAUUUCUGUACAAAUAUCUUAUAUAUUAUUGUUCAAAUGUGUAUAUGGAGUUUUUAUGUUUAAUAAGUUCAGACAGUUGAAGAAUUAGAGUAAGAAAAUAAAAUAAUAGGAGAAUUAUUUUUUAGUGUUCACAAGCGUAAAGGUAUACAGAAUAUCUUAAGUUGUUGCGGCGGAAUUUAUUUGUUGCUAAUGAUAAAAGGUAGGAGAAAAAGAAAAGAAAAACAAUUCACUCGAUAAUCGUAGCUUAAAAUAUGAAUAGUCAUGAAUAUUAAUGGUUUGAUUUUGAUGUAUUAAUUGACAAAAUUUAAGGUGCUAAUCAGAUAUCAAAAUCGAAGGUAAAAACUUAGACUCGGAUGUUUACAAAAAAUAAAAUAAAAAAUAAAAGUAUACUUAAUUUUCACAAUUAGGUCAUAAAUAAAAGGUGAGGUGAGUAUAUGUAUUAAUUAUGUGAACUUAUUUUCUCCGUUUCGGUUCACAUAAAUUAAAACGAAAAGUAUGAUAUUAUAGGAGUUUAUGUGAAGGCAAUGUGGCAAGUAUAACUUAUUGUUAGAAUAUACGUGUAUUGCGAAAGAGGAAAAGGUAAGGAGGUUACUCUCUCUUCGUCACAUGGUGCUUUAUGCUGGAAUACGAAAUAAAAAUAUGAUUAAUUGGAAAGGAUAAAGUAAAAAUAUGUUCUCGUUAAGCCCAGAUGGGCGACGUGUUAAGUUUGAUUUUUAACCAUGAGUACUAUCAGUCAGUGUUAGGUUGAUUUUCCUAUCUUAUUAUUAUUAUCUUCUGGUUUGAAAUCACUUGUUUCCUAUGUUAUUGUUGUUAUUGGUGUCUAGCAGAAGAGAGGGGUAAGAAAUAUUUUGAGCCACACUCUCAUACAUCUAAAUAUAUAUUGCAUCAGUGUAGCAGGCUCAUGGUACAAAAAGUGGGAGGCUAUUAGAGUACAACCAUCGUAAUUUUUUAAUAAUGGGUCUAAUUAGUAGUGACUCAGGAAUGCAAAGAUGUCGAAGGUUUAUUUGAAAAUAGCACCCCACUAAUUGAGAUUAUACUGAAUUGUUGUUGUUGUUGUUGUAUGUCACAUUGUUUCAGCGGUAACUUCACAAUUACUAUUUUCUAUAAAAAAUAUCUAGAAAUAUUUGAGAUCCUCUUAAGGGAUGUAAUAUUUCAUAUAUAUGAAGUGCAUUUAUUUUUAUUUACUUUAAAUAAUUGGUUGUAUCACUUUUUUAUCAAGUGUUAUUGAAAUGUGUCAAUCAUCUCUUUGUUCUUCCAUAUUCAUAUAUCUAGACUUCUUAUUUCUUUUUCGAAUUUGAAAUGAUAUUUCGAUAGUUUAGAAUUAAAUAGAAUAUAUUAUUAUUUCGGUAUCAUAUUUAUUUUUAUGUUUAAUUUUCAAAUUACCUCGAAAGCAUACAUAGAAAAGAAGUUAUUGUUUGACGACUAAGAAAAUAACUAUUAUAUGUUACUAAAAAAAAUUCUCCCAUAUGAAUAAUUUAAUAAACCAUAUGUUUUUCAGUUUUUUCAAUUUCUAUUAAACUUAUGUCCACUUAUCAAAACUUUAUCUAUAACUUUAACAAAAUAAAAUUAGAAUAAUAUUAUUUAACAAAAAAAUCCAAAAAAGUCAAAUCAAUUUAAAUCGAACCAACCCGAUCCAUAUACAUUCCUAAUUAUUAUUAUUAGUGUCUCGCGAGGUAGAGAAGCACGAAAGUUUUAACCACAACUUCCACAAUAUCUUUUUAAUAUUCUUGACGGACAUGUCUGAAAACAAUUGUCAGUUAGAUUCAUUAAUUACGGAAGGAGAAAAAACAGAACAACUGAAUAUUACCAUUCUGAUGAGCUAUUUUUGCUUUUCAUUUUUGUUUGCAACUUGAAUAGACACAACUUUGAAAUAAAAGGAUGUGGAUUAUUUACACAAGUGUACAUAACUAAUAUUUUGAUCUUCGCAGGACAACUUAAUAAACAACUGGGGGACCCUGUUUAGCAAUUCCUUGGGAUGAUAAUUAUAUUUUAUGUUGAUCGUUAUAUAUGAAAUCAUAUUGUGAUUGAUAGAAGAGUUAUAAUUGAAUAUCUGUAUAUAAUGAUGAAGGGUCCUGGUAUAGUGGAAAUUUAGUGCGAAAUCAAAACAAGGAUUAUUUUGCUAUUUUUAGGUCAUACUACGUGAUGUUCAGCAAUCAGUAUUUGCAACAAUUUACACGAAUGUAGGAAUGACCGGCGAUGCGGGACUCACAUAUGAUUAAACUCGCAUUCACCUGCCUUAUAAAUUUUUUUUAAUUAAAAAUUCUUUAUUUUUUAGAAAGCUAGACAUAAAUCUAAUAUUUUUAAUAAAACAAUUAAUUAUAUUCAAACUGUUCUCUCUUUUUUUCAUAUACUUUAGCUUUUUUGGAAUAGCCUUUUCGCUUGUCAUUGCUUUUCAGUGCACAAGAAAGGGAUUAUAUCUCAUUUAUAUAUAAUCUUGUUUUCUUUUCUGUAGAUUUACAGAAUAAUACCAAAAAAAAAAGAUAAAAACAAAGUCAUGAAGAGGGACAUGCAAACAAGCUAAGCACAUACAUUAUUCACAGUUCCCAAUCUUCAUAAUCUUUAUAUAUUUCGAAUGUACUGCAAUUAAACAAAAAAUUGCAAGUUGCAUGCAUGAAACUCGAAAAGCUGCAAACGUUAUAUAUCAAGCACCAGGCGAAGCUAUAGCUUGUCGCCUCAAAUUUCUGUAGAACUUCGAAGUAGUAUCUUCAUCAAAUUGGGCAAUUGACUCUCGCUCUCCGUAAGAAAAGUACUCGAAGAUGAAUUAACCGAAUUCUUUUUAUUUUAAGACUUUGAAUUCCCACCUUUGAAAAUCGUGAUAUCACUUACUAUUUAGAGCUAGGCAAGCCAAUCCUUGACUACCCGUUUCAUGACUGAUUUAUUCCUUUUAGAAAAUACCGGUAAUACCAUGAAACAAUGGAAUAAAAUGAAUAGGCGGAAGUCUUAAAUUAAAGAAUCUGAACAAUAAUGCGGAAAAAACAACAUAAUCUCUAUCCAAGAACUGGUGUCACAUACUCACGAGCCACUAAGGGUACUACACACAAUUGUUUGAAAAGAAUAUAACAUUGUUUGUCUCGGAAUACAUGAGAUAACAAAAUGAAAAGCAAGAUAGAGAAGACUCCAGGCCAGCGGACGUCUGCAAAACUACCUCGGUGGACUGAAGGCUGGCUCCCGAUUAAUACUGCUGCUCAAAAGCUACUCCGGCACCUAGGUCUGUGCAAAAGAGCACAGAGUGUAGCAUCAACACAACAAACCCCAUGUGCUGGUAUGUGUCUGGUCUAACCCCGGCGAGGUAGUGACGAAGCUAGGACCAGACUUAAGCGGGUACAAUUAUAUAAUAUAUGGCGAAAAAGUAAACAAAUAAUAAGCACUUAAAGCUGGGGAAGGGGAACAUGCUGUGGGAAUGACACAUAAACAGAAUAUCAAGAACAAUAAGGAAAAAAAACUGUAAUUAGCUAAUAACGCAGGCAAAGAGAAGUAAAAACAACUUUCACUUUUAGUUUCAAUCUUGUUGCAGGUGUGCAACCCGAUUCCAUUUCUUAUAUCUCGUGGUAGGCGUACCACCAGAUCCCAUUUUAUUAUUUCUCAAGGUAGACGUACCACUCGAUCCCAUCUCAUUACAUCUCGUGGUAGGCGUACCACCCGAUCCCAUUUCAUUACAUCUCGUGGUAGGCGUACCACCCUCUCACAUUUCAUUACAUCUCAUUGUAGGCGUACCACCCGAUCUCAUUUCAUUAUCUUGUGCUAGGCGUACCCCCGCUCCCAUUUCAAUAUCUUGCGGUAUGCGUACCACCUACUCCCAUUUCAAUAUCUUGUGGUAGGCAUACCACCCGCUCCCAUUUCAAUAUCUUGUGGUAGGCGUACCACCCGCUCCCAUUUUAAUAUCUUGUGGUAAGCGUACCACCCGCUCCUAUUUUAAUAUCUUUUGGUAGGCGUAGCAUCCGCUCCCAUUUCAAUAUCUUGUGGUAGGCAUCUAACCCGCUCCUAUUUCAAUAUCUUUUGGUAGGCGUACCACCAGAUCCUAUUUCAUGUUAUCACAUAAUCACAAGAAAUCCCGGAAAGGGAAAAACAAUAUAGAAACAAUCGUCUCGGCAAGGGAGAAUCAACUAUAACUAACCUUAACUCAAUUUGAUUAAUGAAAAUACUCAAUCACAACUAGGAUCUACGAGGAUAAAUAAAUCUUUGCCCAAUGCAGUAGAUCAUUAGUUACGACAUACAUGAUGUCAUUAAAAAAUACAACAACUUCCAAUUUAGGACCUACGUCAAGCUUGACACCAGCGUAUAAAACUUGUCACCAUGCCUAUAUGUCGUACUCAACAAAGAGCACUUAGCACAUAAGGCUCAACUCCUAAUCCCUCAAGCCAGGGUUAGACCGAACACAUACCUCAAUGCGUUUAAUUCAAUUCACGCCUCAAUUAUAGCUUUUCCCCUUAGUUCCACUACCAAUCCGCUUGAAUCUAAUCAUAAGUUACUUAAUCUCAUUAACAAAUUCUAAAUGAGUCAACUCCGAUGCAUGAAAAUAAGUUUUAAAAAAUUUUACCUUGAAAGAUCAAAAAUACCCCCGAGCCCACGUGGUAGAAACUCGAGGUUCGGACCAAAACUCGGUUAUUCAUUCCCCCACGAAUCUAAAUAUGUGAUUUGUUUUGAAAUCGAACCUCAAAUGAGGUCCAACUCCCUAACUUUUGUAAAACCUUGGUUUUACCCAAAACACACAGUUUCCCCAUGAAAUUUUUUGAUUUGUAGUUGAAAUCAUAUUAAAAGAUGUUAAGGAGUGAAGAAAAUGAGUUAGAAAUCACUUACCAAUCGUUUUGAAGAAGAAUAGUUGUUUGAAAAAUCGCCUCUUAUGUAUUGGGGUUUUUGAAAAGUGUAAAAUAACUGAAAUUCACGUGUAUUUAUACCCGUCUGAGGUUCCCUGUGUAGACCACGCAAAAGAGAACCGCGGCCGCACAGGCUUGCUGAAGGCCUGUAGAUCUUUGCCCAGUGUGGACCGUGCUAAGCCGACCGCGACCGCGCAGCACCCACCGCGGACCGCACUGGCCCCUCCGCGGCCGCAAGCGUUUUCUCAGGGGCUGCGCUAGAGGGUUCAGAGACCUGUCAAUUUUCUGAACCUACAAUAUCUGAUCUUUUUGAGCAUAAGGCAUCAGAACCUUCUCGAAGCUCACCCGAGCCCUCAAAACUCUAAUUAAAGUAUACACACAACUUCGAAAACAUCUUACAAAUGUAUUCAUGUGAUCAAAUCACCAAUAUAACAUCAUGAACAUGGAACUGAACCUCAAGAUCAAUGAAAUUUCUCAAAUCUCCUUUUUAAGCAUAAAUUCCCAAUUAGGAUUCGGAUCGCAUCAAACGACGUCUGGUUUUAACCAAACUUUACAGAAAGUGGUUAAAUCAUAUAUAAGACUUGUAUGGGGCGCCUGAACCAAAAUACGGGGCCGAUACCAUAGUUUUCCAAUCGAAUUUUAUUUCAAUUUUCCAUAAUAAUUUCCAGAAAACAAUUUUACUCAAAAAUUCAUUUCCCGGGCUUGGGACCUUGGAAUAAAUCGAUUCUGGGCAUACGCCCAAGUCCCAUAUUUUCCUACGGACCCUCCGAGACUGGCAAUAGGGGUCCGGGUCUGUUUACUUAAAAUGUUGAUCGAAAACAAAUUUAAUUAUUUUAAUAUAAAAUUUAGCAUUUUUCUCACAGAAUUCAUAUAUAAGCUUUCCGGUUACGUGCUCAGAAUAUGCACGCAACUCGAGGCAGUCUUAAAUUAGGUUUUCAAGGCCUCGGAGACACAAAAUGAUUAAAAAAUAGGUGAUGAUCCUCUGGGUUGUUACAUUCUCCACCUCUAAAACAACCGUUCAUCCUCGAACAGUCAGAAGAAGAAAGUACCCGAGUCGAACAAAAGGUGGGGAUAACGGUCCCGCAUAUGAGGCUGGGAGUCCCAGGUCGAUGCUUCAGGAGGCUGACCUCUCCACUGAACACGCAUCGAAAGAAACUUUUCGUCCUUAAUUGUCGAACAUGCCGGUCUAGAAUAGCCACCGGCUCCUCCUCAUAAGGCAGAUCCUUUUCCAACUGGACGGUGUUGAAAUCUAACACGUGGGCUGGAUCGCCGUGAUACCUCCGAAGCAUGGAUACAUGAAAACCUUGAUGUACGGCUGAUAAUCUAGGCGGCAAUGCAAGUAUAUAAGCCACCUCUUCCACUUUGUCAAGAAUCUCAAACAGGCCAAUGAAUCUAGGGCUAAGCUUGCCCUUCUUUCCAAAUCUCAUCACGCCCUUCAUAGGCGACAAUCGGAGCAAUACCCACUCACCAACCAUGAAAGCCACAUCUCAAACCUUACGAUCUGCAUAGCUCUUUUGCCUGGACUGAGUUGCACGAAGCCUAUUCUGAAUGAUCUUGACCUUGUCCAAGGCCUCUUGAACCAAAUCUGUACCCAACAACCGAGCCUCUCCCGGCUCAAACCAUCCAACCGGAUAUCGAAAUUGCCUACCAUAUAAAGCCUUAUAAGGAGCCAUCUGAAUGCUCGACUGGUAGCUGCUGUUGUGGGCGAACUCCGCUAAAGGCAAGAACUGAUCCCAUGAACCUCCAAAGAUAACACAGCUCGAAACAUAUCCUCCAAUAUCUGAAUAGUCCGCUCGGACUUCCCGUCUUUCUAAGGAUGAAAUGUUGUACUCAACUCCACCUGGGUGCCUAACUCCCGCUGAACUGUUCUCCAGAAACGCGAGUUAAAUUGCGUACCCUGGUCCAAAAUGAUAGAUACGAGCACAUCAAGGAGGCGAAAAAUCUCCCGAAUAUAGAUCUCAGCUAACCUCUCAGAAGAAUAGGAGACUGCAACCGGAAUGAAAUGCUGACCUGGUCAGUCUAUCAACAAUGACCCAAACUGCAUCGAACUUCUUACGGGUCAACAGAAUUGCAAUAACAAAGCCAUAGUGAUCCGCUCCUAUUUCCACUCGGGAAGCUUAAUCCUCUGAAAUUAACAACCAGGCCUCUGAUGCUCAUACUUAACCUGCUGACAAUUAAAACACCACACCGCAUAUGCCACAAUUUCCUUCUUCAUUCUACGCCACCAAUAAUACAUCUACAAAUCUUGAUACAUCUUCGCGGCGCCCGGAUGAAUAGAGUAUCGGGAACUAUGGGCCUCCUCUAAUAUCAACUCUCGAAGCCCAUCCACAUUGGGCACACAAACUCACCCCUGCAAUCUCAAGACUCCAUCGACAUCUAACGUAUCCUGCUUGGCACCUCCUCACUACACCGUGUCUCUAAGGACACACAAUUGAGGAUCAUCAAACUGUCGAUUAAGGAUACGCUCCAAUAAUGAAAAACGAGCGCCUGUGCAAGCUAACACCCGACUAGGCUCAAAAAUAUCCAACCUCGCAAAUGGAUUGGCCAAAGUCUGAACUUCCAAAGCAAGCGGCCUCUGACUGUCCGGAAUAUAAGCAAGACUACCUAUGCUAGCUGACUUCCUACUCAAAGCAUCGGCAACCACAUUGGCUUUCCUCGGGUGAUAUAAGAUAGUGACAUCAUAAUCCUUCAACAACUCCAACCACCUUCUCUGCCUCAAGUUCAAAUCCUUCUGCUUGAACAAAUACUGAAGACUCUUGUGGUCAGUGUACACCUCACAUGCCACGCCAAAAAAAUAGUGCCUCCAAAUUUUCAAUGCGUGAACAAUAGCUGCCAACUCCAAAUCAUGUAGUGGAUAAUUCUUCUCAUGAAUCUUCAACUGCCUCGAAGCACAGGCAAUAACCUUGCCAUCCUGCAUCAACACUGCACCAAGCCCAAUACGGGAAGCAUGCUGUAGUCAGAGCUGUAUUGAGCUUCUGAAAGCUGGCCCCACACUUAUCUGGCCAUCUAAAUUGAGUAUACUUCUUUGUCAAUCUAUUCAUCGGGGCUGCAAUAGAUGAAAAACCCUCCACGAAUAGUCGAUAGUAGCCUGCCAACCCCAAGAAACUCUGAAUCUCUGUAGCUAAUGCUGGUCUAGGCCAGCUCUUGACUGCCUCAAUCUUCUUUUGGUCCACCUACAUACCCUCUACUGAUACAACAUGACCCAGAAAUGCACUUGAACUCAACAAGAAUUCACACUUCGAGAACUUAGCAUAUAACCGACUAUCCCUUAGAGUCUGAAGUACCACUCUAAGGUGCUACUCGUGCUCCUUCUGGCUGUGAGAAUAUAUCAAUGAAAACUAUCACGAAUGAGUCCAAAUAAGUCCUGAACACUUGGUUUAUUAAGUCCAUGAAAGUUGCUCGGGCAUUGGUCAACCUGAAUGACAUAACCAAGAACUCAUAAUGCGUGUACCUAGUGCGGAAAGCUGUCUUAGGGACAUCAGAUGCCCUAAUCCUCAACUGAUGAUAGCCAGAUCGCAAGUCAAUCUUGGAAAAUACCCUAGCACCAUAAAGCUGGUAAAAAAAAUCAUCAAUCCUUGGCAGUGGAUACUUAUUCUUAAUCGUUACCGUAUUCAAUUGCCGGUAAUCAAUACACACUCUCAUUGACCCAUCCUUUUUUCGACAAAUAACACUGUCGCACCCCAAUGUGAGACACGGGGUCUAAUGAAACCCUUCUCAAGAAAAUCCUGCAACUGUUCCUUUAACUCUUUCAACUCAGGCGGCGCCAUACGAUAUGGUAGAAUAGAAAUGGGCUGAGUGCCCGGAACCAAAUUAAUGAAGAAAUCAAUAUCCAUGUCGGGUGGCAUACCCGACAGGUCUGAAAGAAAAAGAUUGGGGAAUUCAGAAACAAUGGGCACAAAAUCAAUAGAGGGAACCUCGGAACUGGAAUCCCGAACGUAAGCCAAAUAAUCCAAGCACCCCUUUUCGACCAUUCGCCGAGCCUUCACAUACUAUAUAACACUACGGGUAGAAUGACCUAGAGUCCCUUUCCACUCUAAACGAGGCAUACCCGGUAACGCAAAGGUCACAGUCUUUCCAUGACUAUCCAAGAUAGCGUGAUAAUGUGAUAAACGGUCCAUCCCUAAUAUAAUGUCAAAAAUCAACCAUAUCUAAAAGCAACAAAUCUACACGACUCUCAAGACCCCCAAUCACCAUAACACAAGAACGAUAGACUCGAUCUACAACAAUGGAGUCACCCACUAGUGUAGGCAUGUAAACAAGAAUAUCCAAUGCAUCACUAUGCAUGAUCAAGUAUGGGGAAAAAUAAGAUCACAAAUACGAAUAAGUAGACCCCAGAUCAAACAACACUGAAGCAUCUCUAUCGCAUACCGAAACCGUACCUGUAAUAACUGCAUCUGAAACCUCUGCCUCGGGCCUGGCGUGAAGAGAAUAACAUCGGCUCUAGGCCCUACCACUCUGAUCUACCUCCCAGGGACGGCCCACUGUUGGCUGGCCUCCACCUCUGGCGGUCUGAGCUCCACCUCUAUGACCUCUACCUCCACCUUUGGCACCUGUACCUCCACCUCUAGUCGACGGGGCAGGCUAUGGAAAAUCUGGUGUCUGUACCAUAGCACGGGAACCCUACUAUGAAGAACUGCUCGAAGCUCGAGGACAACACUUAGCAAUGUGCCCCGUGUCACCACAAGUAAAACAAGCUCUCGGUUGCUUGGACUGGCGACCCUGGAACUCUAGAGCGAUGGUGCACUGAUAGUUGCUGAUGGUGUACUGUAGGGCUUUUGUUCAGAAUAAUGCAGCUAAGAACCACGACCACCUGAAGUACCGUGAGAAAACUGGAGUGUUGACAGGAAAGGCUUAGGAGGAUGACACCUAUCAUGCGAAUCUCUGCCUCCAGAUGAAGCACCACUGAAUAGGCAUAACUGAUGGGGUCUCUUAUCUGCCGUGUGACCACCCCUUAUGAAAAUACCAUCUCAAUCCGUCGGGCCACAUUGGCCACCUCCUGAAAGGAUAUUUCACUCCCAGCCUCUCUAGCCAUCUGGAGACGAAUAGGCUCAAUGAGUCCAUUAAUGAACCGUAUCACUCUCUCCCUCUUAGUGGGAAAUAUAACAAUGGUAUGGCAUGCCAACUCAAUAAACCCGGUCUCGUACUGGGUGACUGUCAUAGAUCCCUGAUGGAGACGCUCGAAUGGCCUCUGAUAGGCCUCUCGCUUAGUAAUAGGGAGAAACCUCUCCAGAAACAUAUGAGUGAACAGCUCCCAAGUCAAGGCUGGUGACCUUGCUAGUAUAGCUAGGCAAUAAUCCCUAGCGAAAUCAACCCCAUUGGCCUCAACAAUACCCAUGUUCCAAAGAACCUCGUGGCAGCUGUCCACAUAAUCCUGAGGAUCCUCAGUCGAUGCAACAUUAAAGGUAGUAGUGAAGAGCUUGAUGAACCUGUCCAACCUCUAUAGAGUAUCAGCAAUCAUAGUUGCCCCAUCACCAGCCUUGGCUACCACACCCGGCUGAGCUGCUCUAACUAGCUGAACCGUUGGAGUUUGAAUCGGAGGAGCUACCUGCUCCAGAGUACGAGUAGCAGGAGUCUGUGUCCCUUCUCUAGCCUAAGAGACGCUGGUGCUACUAGAAGCAAACCUGCUCGGAUAACACUUUCCAUAUGACCCACCAAUCGUACCAGAGCAUCUUGAAGAACUGGGGUAGAAAUAAACCCUUCUGGGACCUGAGCUGCGCCUACUGGAACUGGUGGGGCUGGGGCCGGAACCUCCUCGUCAAAGUCGACUUGAUGCUCCGCCACUAGUGCUGCUGCUCGGGGCUAAGCUCUGCCCCUACCUUGGCCUCUAGCACAGCCUCGGUCUUGCCUUAUUCCCCUAGUGGGAGCUGCUUGGGGCUCAGAUUGCCGAUCAGAAGAUGAGGAAGCUCAUGUUCUCGCCAUCCGCGAUUGAACAGAGUAGAAAGACAAUCAGUAUUGAGAAACCAAACCGCAUGAUAGGAAGGAACAAAUAUGAAACUUUUCCUAACUCUGAAGCCUCUGGGGGAUAAAUAAUGACGUCUCCAUACCGAUUCCUUAGACUCUACUAAGCUUCUCCUUGAGUGGUGAGACCUAUGCAACCUCGAGCUCUGAUACCAACUUGUCAUGACCAGGAAUUCUGACCCUCAGGAGUCGUGAUGACGCCUACUAUUGGGAGCUAUGCAAGCCAAUAUUUGACUACCUUUUUCAUGACUGAUUUAUUCCUUUGAUCAAUUAUCGGUAAUACCACAAAAUGACGAAAUAAAAUCAAUAAGUGAAAGUGUUAAAUUAAUGAAUCUGAACAAUAAUGCCAAAAAAUCAACAUAAUCUUUACCCAAGAACUGAUGUCACAUACUCACGAACUACUACGAGUAAUACACACAAUCAUUUGAAAAGAAUAUAACAUUGCUUGUCUCGGAAUACAUGAGAUAACAAAUGAAAAGCAAGAUGGAGGAUACUCCGGGCCUACGAACGUCAGCAAAUCUACCUCGGUGUCUCGGUGAACUGAAGGCUGGCUCCCGAUCUAAUACUGCCGCUCAAAUGCUACUCCAGCACCUAGGUCUGUGAGAAAGAGCAUAGAGUGUAUCAUAAUCACAACCGACCCUAUGUGCUGAUAAGUUUCUGGCCUAACCGGCGAGGUGGUGACGAGGCUAGGACCAUACUCCAGAUAAGGCAGUAAAAAUAUAUAAUAUAUGGCGGAAAAGUAAACAAGUAAUAAGAACUUAAGGCUAGGGAAGGGAAACAUGCUGUGGGGAUGACAGAUAAACAGAAUAUCAAGAACAACAAGAGAAAAACAAAACUGCAUUUUAACUUCUAACGCAGGUAAAGAGAAGUAAAGACAACUUUCACUUGCAAUUUCAAUCUUGUUGCAGGUGUGAAACCCGAUUCCAUUUCUCAUAUCUCGUGGUAGGCGUACCACCCGAUCCCAUUUCAUUAUAUCUCUCGGUAGGCAUUCCACCUGAUCCCAUCUUAUACAUCUCGUGGUAGGCGUACCACCCAUACCCAUUUAAUUACAUCUCUGGUAGGUGUACCACCCGCUCUCAUUUCAUUACAUCUCGUGGUAGGCGUACCACCCGAUCCCAUUUCAUUAACUUGUGGUAGGCGUACCACCUACUCCUAUUUCAAUAUCUUGUGGUAGGAGUACCACCCGCUCCAAUUUCAAUAUUCUGUGGUAGGCGUACCACCCUCUCCCGUUGCAAUAUCUUAUGGCAGACGUACCACCCACUCAUAUUUCAAUAUCUUGUGGUACACGUACCACCUGCUCGCAUUUCAAUAUCUUGUGCUAGGCAUACCACCUGCUCCCAUUUUAAUUUCUUGUGGUAGGCGUACCACCCGCUCCCAUUUCAAUAUCUUGUGGUAAGCGUACCACCCGCUCCCAUUUCAAUAUCUUGUGGUAGGUGUACCACCCGCUCCCAUUUCCAUAUCUUGUGGUAGGCGUACCACCCGAUCCCAUUUCAUGUUAUCAUAUAAUCACAAGAAAUCCCGGCAAGUGAACAACAAUAUAGAUACAAUCAUCCCGACAAGGGAGAAUCAACUAUGCCAACCUUAACUUAGUUUGAUUAAUGAAGAUACUCAAUCCCAAUUAGUAUUUACGAGGAGAAACAAAUCUUUGCUCGAUACGGUAGAUCAUUUAUUAGGGUAUACAUGAUGUCAUUUAAGAAUACAAAAACUUUCAAUUUAGGACCAACGGUCAUGCUUGAAACCAGCGUAUAGAUACUCAUCACUAUGUCUAUACGUCGUACUCAACAAAGAGCAAUUAGAACAUAAGACUCAACUUCUAGUCCUCAAGCUAGUGUUAGACUAAACACUUACCUCAAUGCCUUGAAUUCAACUCACGCCUCAAUUAUAGCUUUUCCCCCUUGGUUCACCACCAAUCCGCUCGAAUCUAAUUAUAAGUUACUUAAUCUCAUUAACAAAUGCUAAAUGAAUCAUCCCUGAUGCAUGAAAAUAAGUUUUGCAAAGUUUUACCCGAAAGGUCAAAAAUGCGCCCACGUGGUCGAAACUCGAGGCUCGGACCAAAACCCGGCUACCCAUUCCCCUACGAAUCCAAAUAUAUGAUUUGUUUUGAAAUCAUACCUCAUAUUAAGGUCCAACUCCCCAAUUUUUAGAAAACCUUGAUUAUACCCAAAACAUCCAAUUUUCCCAUGAAAAUCUUUGAUUUGAAGUUGAAAUCAUGUUAAAAGAUGUUAAAGAGCAAAGAAAUGAGUUAUAAAUCACUUACUAAUCUUUUUGGAGAAGAAGAGUCGUUUGGAAAAUCGCCUCUUAUGUUUUGUUGUUUUUGAAAAGUAUACAAUAACUAAAAUUCACGUGUAUUUAUACUCCUCUGAGUUUCCCUGUGUGGACCGCGCAAAAAUGAUCGUGACUGCACAAGCUUGCUGAAGGCUUGCCGGUCUUUGAAUAGUGCGGAUCGUGCUAAGCCGACCGCGGCGCACAACACCUACCGUGGACCGCACAAAGGUGACUGCGGCCAUGCUGGACCCUCCGCGGCCGCAUGCGUUUUAUCGCGGGCCGCGCUAGAGGGUUUAGAGACCUGUCAAUUUUUUGAACCUGCAACAUCUGAUCUUUUUGAGCCUAAGGCAUCCUGGAACCUACUCGAAGCUCACCCGAACCCUCAAAACUCUAAUCUAGGCAUACACACAAUAUCUUACAAACAUAUUGUGUGAUCAAAUCACCAAUAUAACAUCAUGAACAUGGAAUUGAACCUCAAGAUCAAUGAAAUUUCUCAAAUCUCCCUUUUAAGUAUAAAUUUCCCAAUUAGGGUCUGGAUCGCGUCAAACAACGUUCAUUUUUAACCAAACUUUACAGAAUAUGCUUAAAUCACAUAUAAGACUUGUACCGGGUGCGGAACAAUAAUACAGGCCCGAUACUAUAGUCUUUUAAUCGAAUUUCAUUUGUAUUUUCCAUACUAAUUUCUAGAAAAUAAAUUUACUCAAAAAUUUAUUUCUCGGGCUUGGGACCUCGGAAUUCAAUUUCGAGAGGACGCCCAAGUCUCAUAUUUUCGUACGGAUCCGCCCUCAAAACUCUAAUCCAAGUAUACACACAACCUCGAAAAUAUCUUACAAACGUAUUUGUAUGAUAAAAUCACCAAUAUAACAUCAUGAACAUGGAAUUGAACCUCAAGAUCAAUUAAAUUCUCAAAUCUCCCUUUUAAGCAUACAUUCCCAAUUAGGGUUCGGAUUACGUCAAACGACGUUCGAUUUUAACCAAACUUUACAGAAAAUGCUUAAUUCACAUAUAAGACUUGUACUGAGUGCUGGAACCAAAAUACUGGCCCGAUACUAUAGUCUUCCAAUCGAAUUUAUUUUCCAUUUUCCAUAAUUAUUUCUAGAGAACAAUUUUACUCAAAAAUUCAUUUCUCGGGAUUAGGACCUCGAAUUCGAUUCCGAGCAUAUGCCCAAGUCCCUCAUUUUCUUACGGACCCUCCGGGACUGGCUAAUCAUGUGUCAGAGUCCGUUUACUCAAAAUAUUGACCGCAGUCAAAUUUACUCAGUUUAAUAUCAAAUUUUAGCAUUUUUCUCACAGAAUUCGUAUAUAAGCUUUUCGAUUACGCGCCCGGACUUCGAACAUAACUCGGGGCAACCCUAAAUUAGAUUUUCAAGGCCUCGAAAAUAUAAAAUAAAUAAAAAAAUAGGUGAUGACCCUUUGGGUCGUCACAAAUUAUUUUCUACAACAAAAUAAGUUAAAUUAAUAUUAUGAAACAUUUCUAAAUACACAUGAAAAAUGAAAAAAAGAGUCAAUUGAGCAGUUUCUCUGAUUAUCGAGGGAGAGAGAUGAGCCGUAAGAAAGUGAGUGAACAGUUGACUAGGUCAAUAGAGUGAAAUCGGGACUAAGAUUUUAAUAUUUUGCCUUAACGUCAGUUAGUUCAAAAAAUUAAAUCCCCACUGGCGACCCCUCCUCCCCCUCUUUAUUUUUAAAUUUAAAAUUUAAUCACACCUCGCCCGACCCCGCAACCGCAAAUUCUCAAAUCUUCCCCGCACCCUCACUGUCCAAUUGCAACUGUGAUGAUCAAAAAGGUCAUAACUCGUUUGAAAGUAAAUCCUGUACUUCGAGGCCUUAAAAACUUUUUUAGUCUCAACUUAAUUUGCGUCCGCAGGCCGGGCGCGGUUCCGGAAAGCUUUUGUGUGAAAACUAAGAAACUAAGGAAAUUAGUUUUUAAAAUUGAUUAAAGUUGACUUUGGUUAAUAUUUUUUGUAAGUGAACUGGACCCGUGAUCCGACAGUCUCGUAGGGACAUAGCAAAUUAUGAGACUUGGGCUUAUGUCCGAAAUUGAAUUCCGAGGUCCCAAGACCGAGAAAUAAAUUUUAAAAAAAAAUUAUUUAACUGAAAUGAUAAGAGUUUUUGGAAAUAUAAAGAUGUUUGAAAUUUAUGGUAUCUUUCCCGUAUUUUAGUUUCGGAGCUUGAUACAUGUCUUACAUAAUAAAUAAGUCAAGUCUGUGAAAUUUGGUUACGAUAGAAAAUGAUUUGGUAUAAAUCGGACGUAUAGUUGGGACAAUAGAAAUUUAGAUGUUCUUGAGCAAUUUUAUGAAUUUGAGGUUUAAUUCAUUGUUGUUGAUGUUAUUUUGAUGAUUUAUUCGCACGAGCAAGUCGUAUAAUAUUUUUAAACUUGUGUGCAUAUUUGGUUUGGAGCCCCGAGGGUUCGGGUGAGUUUUGGAUAGGCCAUAGAGUCAAAUUGAACUUAGGAAAGAUUGCUGGUAUCCAGUAUUUUUGCCCAAGCCUCUGAUCUCGCAAUUGUUAGACAAGACUUCGCAAUUGCGAAGUUCUAAUGCAUGGGAAUUACGAUCAAGGCAUCACAAAUGUAAACCAAGCCUGGCCAGGUUAUAAUCGCAAAUGCGACAUUUUGGUCGCAAUUACGAAAGGGGCACGGUUGCAAUUGCGACUAUUUCUUCGCAAUUUUGAAGACUGUAGAAAUUCCGAAGGUUUGCAAUUGUUAACCCUUGAUCGAAAAUGCGAAGACCACAGGUUUCCUUAGGGUUAGCAAUUGCGACAAGAGACCUAUUAAGUGGAAUUACAUACGAGAUUUCAUUCAUUUUUACAAAUUUUCAAACCCUAAAACAUCUUUGGGUGAUUUUUCAAAGGCACCAACUCUUCCAAAUCAUUAGCAAGUCAUUUCUAACUCAUUUCUUUCAAUCUAAUCCAUUUUUUUUACAUAAUUUCAUUUUAAAAUCAAGGGGUUUUCAUGGGAAAUUGGGUGAUAUUUGGUAGAACUUAUGAUCUUUAAAUUUUGGGGAUUUGAACCUCGAUUUGAGGUCUGAUUUAAAAACAAUUAUAUAUUUGAGUUUGUGGGGGGAAGGGUGAUCAGUUUUUGGUUUGAACCUUGGGUUUUGACCAUGUGAGCCUAGGGUCCAUUUUUGACUUUUUGGGAAAAUCAUUCGAGAACCUUAUUUUCAUGCAUUAGAAUUGAUUUAUUUAGCAUUUAUUGAUAUCGUUAAGUAACUUAUAGUUAGAUACAAGUGAAUUAGAAGUGGAAUCGAAGGGUAAAGCAUAAAUUCAAGUUUGAAUUUUGUUCGUGGCAUUGAGGUAAGUCUUUGGUCUAACCUUAACUUGAGGGAAUAUGAGUUUGGUAUUAUUUGCUAUGUGUUAAUUGUCGAGUACGACGUAUAGGUGUGGUACAAGUACCUAUACAUCGGUGUCAAUCAUGCCGUGAGUCUUAUACUAUGAUUUAUGUGACUCCGUUUUGUAUUGUCUAUGCGUAAUAUGAUGAUUUCUGAUGCUGAACAAGGCUUAUGGAAGUAUUCUUGGUAAUUGAACAUUGUAGAGCAUUGGCUCAAGUUGAGAUUUAUGUUGAGAACAUAUUGUUUUAAUGAGAAGAGGUUUAUGAUAUUUUUUCCCUUGCCGUGAUAUUUUUGUUAUUGGAAUUGAUUCCCUUGCCGUGAUAUUACUGCUUGUGAUAUUUAUUCCCUUGCCGAGAUAUUAUUGUUAAAAUACUGUUCCCUUGCCGAGAUUAUAUUGUGAUAUUGUUGAUUCCCUUGUCCAAAUUACUUUGUGAUUGUUGCUUGGGUGAGGAAGAGUGUAAAGCACAAAGGGUGAUGUUGUGCGUGAGUUUGAGAUUGUUAAUGUAUGAAGGGUGAUGCCUUACUGAUUAUAUUAAUUCUUAUGGUGAGAACGAGAGUAAAAGAACGAAGGGUGAUGCCGUGCACUUGUAUUUUUCUCCUUACUCUUUCUUAUAUUUGAGUUUUGGUGUACUUUAUGCUUCUUUACUGAAAUUCUGUUGUACUUGUUAUCCCCCACAGCAUAUUUCUCCUUCCCAACUUUAACUGUUAGUUCUGUUGUUAUUACUCACUGAAUAUAAUAUAACUGCAUAGGUUUAUUUGGUAGUACUGUCCUAGCCUCGUCACUACUUCGCCGAGGUUAGGCUCGACACUUACAAGCACAUGGGGUCAGUUGUGCUGAUACUACACUCUACACUCUUUUGUGUAUAUCCCAAUACUGGAGCAUAUAAACCUUAACUAGGGGUUGCUACCUUCAGUCCAUCGAAAACCCGAGGUAGUCCUGCAGGCGUCCGCAGGCCUUGGCAUCGCCUUUUAUCAUUUCCUUUCUGUUUUUACUUAUUCAGAGACAGUCUCGAAUAUUUCUAUCCAGACCUUAUUUGUAGUAUUCAUAGAUGGUCCGCGACAUUGUGACACCAAAUUCUGGGCAGCACUGUAUUUAGACUUCAUCAAUUUGUAUUAAGUAAAAUUAUCAAAUUUCGUCUUCCACAUUGCCUUUUUUAUUACUAUUCCGCUAUCAUUUAUUUUUUAACUCGUAACUGCUUAUGGAUAAGGUAAAAAGAUAAUAUUAUAUGAAUGUGUUAGCUUGCCUUACUUUCACGAAUAGGUGCCAUGACAACUCUCGAUGGUGAAAAAUUGGGGUUGUGACACCAUUCCUACCCGAGUGAUCAUGAGUUGGAGAAAUGCUUACAGUCUAUUUACUGCCUUGUAUCUUAGUUAUUUUAUUAACACUAGUUAGUGAUUAGACUAAAACUGAAACUAGUUAUUGGAUUCAAGCUUAUGGUGUUGAAACUCCAAAAUUAUGGAUUUUGAUGUUUUUAAUUGCUGCGAUUUAAUGAAAUAUAUUAUUGAUGGAUUAUAAUAAGAAGCGGAAGAAAUAUUAGUAUCAAAAGCACAUGUAAUCUAGACAAUUUAUAUAAAUGGAAUUUUGCGGGUUACCUCUUGCAGCGUGAACAAAGCUCCUCUAUCAUAUGAGCCUCCAAUUCCACAUUAAUUCAAUGAAAUCGCCACCACCCGCACCAUCAUGAUCUCCAAACGUUCCACGGUCUUCUAAUGUGUUACCCAAAUAAUAUCCGAAUAUAGUAAUUUCGUGUGGGCAAAAUUUUCUAGAAAAAAAUGGCAGAAAAAUCGGCCACCUUGUUCUUCUCCCUCUAGGUAAAAAAAUUAUAUAUUUAUAGCACAAAUUUUAAGUGUAAAAACCUUUUUUCAAAGCCCGUUGGGGUUUCCUUCCACCAUUAAAAAAGACUUCUUUAUUUCCUAUUAUUUAGGCACAUCAGAGAAUAUCAAAUUUUUUAACAAGACUUUCAAUUAUGGAAUUAAUUUCUGAUUUUAAAUUAAUAUCCACCAUAAUUAAUUACGAAUUAUUCCACCAAAAAUUCGUAAUUUCACUCCUUAUUCAAUUUUAAAAUUCAUCUAUUAAAUCUUAUUUAACUUCCCACGUUAAGAUUCAAAUACUAAUAUCAGUAGAGUGCACGCUGUUGCUUGGAGACUUCAAGGUAUAUCUGCCAGCGUCCGCCAGAUCUCGGAGUCCCUCUCUAUCCUUACUAUGUCGCCUUUUUCUUUAUACUCUUAUAUGUUGAUAUUCUUUAGAGCUUGUAGCUUGUGACUACCGGGUUUUGAGAGUUAUUUAUACUCAGAGCUGUUGGUUUUAUUUGUACAAGUACAGUUUUUAGUAUUAUACAUCUGUUGAAGAAUAGUCGUUAUUUUUUGUUAUUAUUUUAGUUAUUCCGCAAUUGUUAGGCCUAUCCAAUAUUAGGGAUUAGAUGCCAUGACGAUAUUUUACGAAGAAUAAUUUGGAUCGCGACAAACAUAUUGCUUUUCUCGGUAAUGAAGUUGGUGUUUACCGGAAAUAACAACUGCUAAUAAACUAUAUAAACCAAAACAUGUUUUGGUAAGUUUUAGUGACAAUUUUAUUUUCACAAAUAAAUAUCACUAAAGUCAAAUUUCUUACCAGUAAUAAUAUGGGUCUUUUCAGGCACUCAACUUAAUUGUUGAUAAAGCCUGCACAAAUGCAUAUAGGGAAUACAUUGGCUAAGAGCUAAUUACCGGGUUAAAGCUUUUCUACUAAUUUUAUCGCAGUUUCUGAUGACCCGGUUAGUUGUCUUAAAAAUUAAUGCCCCUAUCCCUUAUUAACUAUUUUUUCUAGGUUUAUUUCUACUAAUUUGAUUUGCCGGAAUAUUCGAUUUUGAGUUUCGGAGUGUUUUGGGACACUUAGUCCCUAAAUGUGAGCAUAAGUGUUGGAAAAAUCAACUAUAGUCGGAACAAUGUGAAGAUGGCCUCGGAAGGGAAAUCCGAUGGUUCCGUUAGCUUCGUUGAGAUUUCAGGGCUAGGAGCGUGUUCAGAUUGUAUUUUGAAGGUCUGUAGCUAAUUUAGGCUUGAAAUGCCGAAAGUUGAAUUUUUGGAAGUUUCCGGUUCGAUAGUGAGAUUUUGAUACAAGGGUCGGAAUGAAAUUCUGAGAGUUGUACUAGUUUCUUUAUGCCAUUUGGGAUGUGCGUGCAAAGUUUCAGGUCAUUUGGAUGAGGGUUGGUAGACUUUUUAAUCGAAAAUGUGUUUAUAGAGUUUUUGAAACUUUUAAGCUUUAAUUCGAUGAGAAAUAGGUGUUUUGAUGUUGUUUUGAGUGUUUUGAAAAUUGGAACAAGUUUUAAUGAUGUUAUGGGUUAUGUUCAUAGGUUUGGUUGAGGUCCCGGGGCCUCGAAUGUAUUUCGGAUGCUCAACGAGCCAUAUUGAAUUGUUAGAAAAUUGCUGAUUUUUGCUUCAGGUAUGUUGCAGACUUUUGUUCUUCACGAUCGCAUAUAAGUGGCCGCGAUCCUGAAGGUUUAUUUGAGGGAAGGGGAAGAGUUUUUUCUACGUGAUCGCGUGAGCCAGGUUGCGAUCGCGUGAGUCUGUAUGGUAUAGCUUUGCGAUUGCAUGUGUUAAGUUACGAUCGCAUGAGGUUGAGUAGUAUAGCUUCACGAUCACAUGAAGCGUGUAGCGAUCAUGUAAGGUAAGUUGAGGGAAGUCCAUUUUGUGCUUCGCAAUCGCAAGACUAAUUCCGCGAUCGCGAUUAAUGAAAUACUUGGGCAUAUAUAAGAUUUCAAAAUCAAGGUUUAGCCAUUGUUUUCAAAACUUAAGAUUGGGAGCUCGGAUUUGAGCAAGAUUUUGAGGGAUUUUCAGAGCUAUUGAUUGGGUAACGCUUCUAAGCUCCCUCUUUCUUAUAACCUAUUAAUCUAAGCAUGAAUUCCUCCUUUAAUUUCAGAUUUUGAAUAAAAAUUAGGAAAAUGUUCUUAGGAAUAGAAAUUGAGUUUUGAUUGGAUUUUUGAUAUCCAAUUUGAGAGAUUUUUAUAUGAUUAGACUUGUGAGAGUAUGAGGUUUCUGAAAAUGUUAAUUUUGCCCGAUUCCGAGAUGUUUUUUUGAGGGGUAUUUUGGUAAUUUUAUAUGAUUUUGCGUAUUAGCUUAGAAUUUAAUUGUAGAAUCAAUUACAUGAAGCGCUAUUUAAAAUAUGCAAUCGAAUUGCAUAGAUUUGGGCAAUUUGGAGUCGAAUACUCAUGGCAAAAGUGUGGUUUCGAGUUGAUUUUGAGUCGGUUCGAUGUAAGUGGCUUGUCUAACAUUGUGUGGGUGACCUUCUCCUUAGAAAAUUAUAUUUGAUAGUUGAAAUGCCUUGUACGUGAGGUAACGAGCGCAUACUUGAGCUAAUUGUUGAAAAUUCGGUUUACUUUAAGUAUUUAACUGAAUUCCUUUCUUAUAUGUAUUUAUUCUACUUGCAGACUUAGCCUUUUGUUAGUUAGAAAAGUAUACUUAGUGAACCUAAUUGCCUAUUUGCUUAACUACCUUAAAUUGCAUUAUGUAAAGCAUGUUAGGAUAGAAUUUAACUGUUUACUUAUACAAAGAUGGCAUUUAAUUUAAUAUUCUAGUGUUGCUGUUGUAUAUAUUAAAUUGGGACAACGAGACCGCAUCCCGGGAGAUCCCCUGAAUGAGAUUAUGAUUUUGGACUGAGAUGCGGGAUACCAAGAGAUCCUUGGCACGUGUAUUGAGGAUACCUAGAGAUCCUCGGGAAACCAAGAGAUCCCUGGCAUAAAUAUUGAGGAUACUAAGAGAUCCUCGGGAUACCAAGAGAUCCCUCGCAUUUAUAUUGAGGAUACCAAGAGAUCCUCCAGGAUACCAAGAGAUCCCUGACAUUUAUAUAUAUUGAGGAUACCAAGAGAUCCUAGGGAUACUAAGAGAUUCCCAGUUGUUAUCCUUGUUGUGACCGAUAUUUUCUUGUGUUCUACCUUUAUUUUUGUUUUCUGUUAUUGAACUCUUAUUAUCCUGUAUAGCCUCUUGCUGUAAAUACUCAAUUAUACUGUUUACCUUAUCCUGUCAUUCUUAUUAUUAUUUACCUCAGUAGGGCCCUGACCUUCCUCGUCACUACCCGACCGAGGUUAGGCUUGGCACAUACUGAGUACCAUUGUGGUGUUCUCAUGUCUCUUCUACGCAUGUUUUUUAGUGCAGAUCCAGGUACCGCUGAUCAGGUCUAUCAUCCUUGAGGGAAGCAACUUCUAAGAGACUCUAAGGUACAUCUGCCGUGUCCGCAGACCAAGGAGUCCCUUUCUAUUCGUGCCUUAGUAUUUAGUCCUUCUGUAUCUUUCAGUUUUAUUAGACAUUUUGGAGUUAAAGCUGUGUAGUAUUAUCUCUGCUUGUGAUUUGUGGGGUUCCGGGUCUUGGCUCUGGAUAUCGGUUUCGAGUUUUAUAUAUGGUGUAUACUGAGCGAUACAUAUAAACACAAUUAAUACUUUGUUUCUAUUUUAUAAAAAUUGUUCUACCUACACAAUUUUAGUUACUUUCUGAAAUUUAGGCUUACCUUGUGGUAAAGAUUAGGUGCCGUCAUGACAGUUUACGGAAGACGAACUGGGGCUAUGACAAGUUGGUAUCAAAGCUCUAGGUAUAUAGGAGUCACAGAUCACAAGUCGGUUUAUCAUAGUCUAGUUGAUCGGUACAGAGACGUCUAUACUUAUCUAUGAGAGGCUUGUCGUGCGUGGUUUUGAUAUCACUACUAAACUUCUGUCUUUCUAUUCUCUCGCAGAUGGUGAGGACACAUGCUACUCGAGAUGAUUAGACACCCGCGCCCCCUAGUGCAGCCGUCAGAGGCCGUGGCUGGGGUAGAGGCCGAUGACGCAUACUUGGUGCAGGUAGAGUGCCUGUGCAAGCUGCCGCCGAGGUACCACCAGCAGAUCUAGCCGGAGUCCAGGCACCUAACACGCCUACUACUGCUAUUACUACUCAAGAUUUUCAGGAAACGCUGGCACAUUUCAUGAGCAUGUACACCACUUUGGCUCAAGCAGGGUUGCUUCCCCUAUCUGCAGCCACAUCCCAGGCUUGGGNNNNNNNNNNNNNNNNNNNNNNNNNNNNNNNNNNNNNNNNNNNNNNNNNNNNNNNNNNNNNNNNNNNNNNNNNNNNNNNNNNNNNNNNNNNNNNNNNNNNNNNNNNNNNNNNNNNNNNNNNNNNNNNNNNNNNNNNNNNNNNNNNNNNNNNNNNNNNNNNNNNNNNNNNNNNNNNNNNNNNNNNNNNNNNNNNNNNNNNNNNNNNNNNNNNNNNNNNNNNNNNNNNNNNNNNNNNNNNNNNNNNNNNNNNNNNNNNNNNNNNNNNNNNNNNNNNNNNNNNNNNNNNNNNNNNNNNNNNNNNNNNNNNNNNNNNNNNNNNNNNNNNNNNNNNNNNNNNNNNNNGGGGGGGGGGGGAGCACAAUCUCUCGCUGUCCGCACUCUUCAGAAGCGAGUGUAUGUUGAGUAGGUUCCUGAGAUUAUUCCAAUACUGCCUGCAAUGCUUGUUCAGCCCGAGGACAGGGCAACGACUUCUGAGGAUGAGCAGGUGAGGCUUGAGAGGGUCAAGAAGUAUAAACCUCAUGUAUUUAGUGGUCUAGCAUCGGAGGAUGCUCUUGCAUUUCUUGAUGAGUAUUAUCGCAUUCUCCAUACUAUAGGUAUCUCGGGAUCGAGCAGGGUUUCUUUCACUACUUUCCAACUUCGAGGGGCCGCCUAUGAUUGGUGGUACACCUAUGAGUUAGCCAGUCUAGAUGAGGCUGCUUCAUUGACUUGGGCUCAGUUUCCAGAUCUCUUCUUGAGAGAGUAUGUUCCUCAGAGCCGUAGGGACGCAUGGCUGGCAAAGUUUGAGUAUUUACUCCAGGGUGCUAUGACUAUUUUAGAGUAUGCUACCUGUUACACCAGUUUGGCUAGGCAUGCACCAGCCUUGAUUGCUACUAUUCGCGAGAGGGUUCACCGGUUUAUUAAGGGGCUUAUUCCCAGCAUUAGAUCUAGCAUGGCUCGUGAGUUGGAGAUGGAUAUUUUUAUCAGCAAAUGGUGAGCAGUACUAGGAGGAUUGAGGGUAUGCAUGCUAGGGGGAGAGAGAGAGAGAGAGAGAGAGAGAGAGAGAGAGAGAGUAGAGGGAUGCCAAGAGGUCUCGAGAGUCGGGCCAUUACUUUGGUGCACGCACCCCAGUUACAGGUCGUCAUGGUAAGGGUUAUAUGAGUGUUGCUAUUUAUUCAACUCUUCCAGCAACCAAUAGUGCUCUAGUUCGUCCUAGGUCUCAGGAGCCUUAUUAUGCGCCUUAGGUUUUUUGCGCGCCUCUUGCACGAAGUGCUUUGGGAGAUCAGUCCAGAAGAUUUGUGCCUAGCCCGUUACAGCCACCACGUCCUCCCAGAUCUUGUUUUGAGUAUUCUGACACAAGCCACGUGAUGAGGGAUAGCCCUAGACUUGGGAGGAGUGCACCUCCAUAGAAUUCUCAACCACAUCUUGUCCCGCAUAAUUCUUAGGCUAUGCUUACAGCUCCAGUUGCUACCCCACCUUCUCAUCCAGCUAGAGGUGGAGGUCGGGGAGGUAGAUGUCGCCCUCGAGGGGGAGGCUAGGUCAGAUACUAUGCUAUGCAUGCCCGUACCAAGGCUAUUGCCUAUGAUUCUUUUAUCACAGGUAUUAUAGUGGUUUUCCACAGAUAUGCAUCGGUUCUAUUUGAUCUAGCAUCUACAUACUCUUAUGUGUCUUCUUAUUUUUCUUCAGAUUUGGGUGUACCUCAGGAUUCUUUGAGUUCCCAUGUUUAUGUUUCUACUCAUCUAGGAGAUUCACUUGUUGUGGACCGCAUUUAUUGGUCGUGUUUGGUUUCUCUCCGUGUUUUUGAGACCAGAGCCGAUUUGUUGUUACUCAGCAUGGUUGAUUUCGAUAUUAUCUUGGGCAUGGGCUGGUUGUCGCUCCAUUAUGAUAUUUUUUAUUGUCAUGCCAAAAUCGUGACGCUGGCUAUGCUAGGUGUACCGCGUGUUGAGUGGAGGGGUACCUUAGAUCAUACCUCCAGUAGAGUUAUUUAUUUCCUUAAGGCUCAGCAUAUGGUUGAGAAGGGGUGUGACAUGUAUCUAGCUUAUGUGAGUGAUGCCAGUAUUGAUAUCCCUUCUGUUGAUUCAGUCCCUGUAGUACAGAAUUUUCCCGAUGUGUUUUCAGCUGAUCUUCCAGGCAUGCCGCUAUGAUAGAGAUAUUAAUUUUGUCAUUGAUUUAUUGCCGGGUACUCAGCCCAUUUCCGUAUCGUAUGGCUCCUUCUGAGUUGAAGGAGUUGAAGGAUCAAUUGUAGGAAUUGCUUGAUAAAGUUUUUAUUCGGCAUGAAGUUUUACCUUGGGGUUCUUCUAUCUUGUUUGUGAAGAAAAAGGAUGUUUCUAUGCACAUGUGUAUUGAUUAUCGCCAGUUGAACAAGGUUACAGUGAAGAAUCGUUAUCAUUUGCCUCGUAUCGAUGAUAUGUUUGACUAGCUUCAGGGCACACAUGUGUUUUCUAAGAUUGAUUUGCGCUCAGGUUACCAUCAGUUGAAGAUUCGGGCGAUUAUCGCCAGUUGAACAAGGCUAUAGUGAAGAACAAUUAUUAUUUGCCUCGUAUUGAUGAUCUACAUGACCAGCUUUAGGGCGCACAUCUGUUUUCUCAGAUUGACUUGCGCUCAGGUUACCAUCAGUUGAAGUUUUGGGAGCCAGAUAUACCGAUGAGUGCUUUCAGGACUCGGUAUGGUCAUUACGAAUUUCUUGUUAUGUCAUUUAGGCUGGCCAAUGCCCCAGCAGCCUUCAUACAUUUGAUGAAUAGUGUAUUCUGGCCAUAUAUUGACUAUUUUGUCAUUGUCUUCAUUGAUGAUAUUCUGGUGUAUUUCCGGAGUCGAGAAGAUCAUGAAUAACAUCUGAGGACAGUGCUUCAAACUCUGAAGGAAAAGAAAUAAUAUCCAAAGUUUUCAAAAUAUGAGUUUUCGUUUGAUUCUGUGGCAUUCUUGGGCCACAUGGUAUUGAGUGAGGGUAUUUGGGUGGAUCCGAAGAAGGUAGAGGCAGUGCAGAGUUGGCCCAGACCAUCCUCAGCUACAGAGAUCCGCAGUUUCCUUGGCUUGGUAGGUCACUUCCAUCAUUUUAUGGAGGGGUUUUCAUCGAUCAUAGCCUCUAUGACUAGACUGACCCAGAAGGGUGCUCCAUUCCGGUGGACGAAAUAGUGGGAGGCGAGCUUUCAGAAAUUCAAGACAGUCUAAUAUGUUCAAGAUCUUAUACUGUCUAUUGUCAUGCCUCGAAAGUUGGCCUUGGAGAGGUAUUGAUGCAGGACGGUAGGGUAAUUGCCUACGCGUCCAAACAGUUGAAGAUACAUGAGAAAAAUUAUCUUGUCCAUGAGCUAUAGUUAGCUGUCAUUGUUCAUGCCUUGAAGAUUUAGCUCUAUUAUCUAUACGGUGUGCCUUGUGAUAUUUAUAUUGAUCACUGAAGCUUGCAGCAUUUGUUCAAGCAAAAGGAUCUAAAUUUGUGCCAGAGGAGAUGGUUAGGGUUGCUGAAGGAUUAUGACAUAUCAUUAUUUUAUAUCACCAGGACAAGACCAAUGUAGUGGCUAAUGCCUUGAGUCGUCGGGCAGAGAGUUUGGGGAGUUUGGCAUAUUUUCCAGCAUCGUAGAGGCAUAUGGCAAUGGAUGUUCAGGCCUUGGCCAACCAGUUUGUGAGUUUGGAUCUUUUAGAGCCUAGCCAGGUUCUAGCUUGCGUGCUUUCUGAGUCUUCCUUAUUUGAUCGUAUCAAGGAGCGGUAAUAUGUGACCCUCAUUUGCUUGUCCUUAAGGACAAAGUUCAAUGGGGAUGCUAGAUAUGAGAGCAUUGGCAAGGACGGUAUAUUAAUGAUGCAGGGUCGGGUUUGUGUACCCAAUGUUCAUGGGCUUAGGGAGCUGAUUCUAGAGGAGGCCCACAGUGCGCGAUAUUCCAUUCACUCGGGUGCCCCAAAGAUAUGUUAGGACUUGAGGCAUCACUAUUGUAGAGGCAUAUGAAGAAAGAUAUAGUUAGGUUUGUAGCUCGAUUCCUCAACUGUCAGCAGGUGAUGUUUGAGCACCAGAGGCCAGGUGGAUUGCUUCAGCAGAUAGAGAUUCUGGAGUGGAAGUGGGAGCGCAUCACCAUGGACUUUAUAUCUAGACUCCCCAGACUUUGAAGAAUUUUGAUGCCAUUUGGAAUAUUGUGGAUCGGCUGACCAAGUCCGCUCAUUUCUUCCAUGUGUGUACUACUUAUUCUUCGAAGCGGUUGGAAGAGCUUUAUAUCCGAGAGAUUGUCCGUCUGCAUGAUAUUCCAGUUACUAUCAUUUAAGACAAAGGUACCUAGUUCACAUAGCGGUUCUGGAGAGCCGUGUAGCAUGAGUUAGGUACUCGGGUGGAGUUGAGCAUGACAUUUCACCCUCAAACAUACGGACAGUCCAAGUGCACCAUUCAGAUUCUUAAGGAUGUGCUCCGUGCAUGUGUUAUGGAGUUUGGGGCUUCUUGGGAUCAGUUCUUGCCAUUGGAAGGGUUUGCUUACAACAACAAUUAUCAGUCCAACAUUCAGAUGGCACCAUAUGAGGCCUUGUAUAGUAGGCAGUGUAGAUCUCUGGUGGGUUUGUUCGAGUGGGUGAGGCUAGAUUAUUGGUAACUGAUUUGGUUCAGAGCGCUUUAGAGAAGGUUAAGGCAAUUUAGGAUAUGAUCUGUACAGCCUAGUCUAAACAGAAGAGCUAUGCGGACCAGAAGGUUCGUGAUGUUUCCUAUUUGGUUGAGGAGCGAGUUCUGGUUUGAGUUGCACCUAUGAAAGGCGUUAUGAGAAUUGGGAAGAAAGGGAAGUUGAGUCCGAGGUUCAUUAUCCCUUUUGAGAUAUUGAGGCAAGUUGGGGAGGUUGCUUAUGAGCUUGCUUUACCUCCAAGCCUGGCAGGAGUUCAUCUGAUGUUCCAUAUUUCGAUGAUCCGGAGGUAUCACUGUGAUCCAUCGCAUGUGUUGGAUUUCAGUUUGGUCCAUCUGGACAAGGAUCUAUCUUAUUGAAGAGCCACUUGCUAUGUUGGAAUCACAGGUCAGAAAAUGGAGGUCAAAGAAAAUUGCUUCAGUAAAGGUUUAGUGGCAGGGUCAGCCGGCCGAGGAGGUGACUUGGGAGAUUGAGCGGGAUAUGCGCAGCAGCUACCCCCAUCUAUUCAUUACUUCAGGUAUGUUUUCUAUAUGCUCGUUCAAGGAUGAACAAAUGUUUAAGUGUAGGUGAAUGUGACGACUCGGCCGGUCGUUUUUAGAAUUUAUUCCCCGAUCCCCCAUUAACUUCUUCCCCUAAGCAGCCGGUCGAGGAGGCGACCUGGGAGACCGAGCAGGAUAUGCACAACCGUUAUCCUAAUUUUUUAACUACUUUAGGUAUGUCUCUAUGCUUGUUCGAGGGAAAACGAAUGAUUAAAUAUAGGAGGAUAUGACGACCCGAAUAAUCGUCUUAAGAAUUAACGCCCCAAUCCCCUAUUAACUACUUUUCCCAUGUUUAUUUAUGCUAAUUUAAUUUGCCGAGAUGUUCAGUUUUGAGUUUCGAAGAGUUUUGGGAUACUUAGUCCCUAAAUGAGAGCUUAAGUGUUGGAAAAAUCGACCAUAGUUAGAAUAGUGCGAUGAAGGCCUCAUAAUGGAAAUUUGAUAGUUUCGUUAGCUUCUUUAGGUAAUUUUGGUGUUCGGAGCAUGUUAAGAUUGUGUUUUGGAGGUCCGAAGCUAAUUUAGGCUUAAAAUGCCGAAGGUUGAAUUUUUGGAAGUUUCCGAUUCAAUAGUGAGAUUUUGACCUGAGGGUCGAAAUGGAAUUUCGAGAGUUGCAGUAGUUUUGUUAUGCCAUUUGGGAUGUACGUGCAAAGUUUCAGGUCAUUUUGACGAGGUUUGGUUGACGUUUUGAUCGAAAAUGUGUUUAUAGAGAUUUUGAAACUUUUAGGCUUGAAUUCCAUGAGAAAUAGGUGCUUUGAUGGUGUUUUAAGCAUUUUGAAGAUUGGAAUAAGUUUGAAUGAUGUAAUAGGUUAUGUUCGUAGGUUUGGUUGAGGUCUCGGGGGCCUCGGGUGUGUUUCAGAUGCUCAACGGGCCAUGUUGAAUUGUUAGAAAAUUGCACAUUUUUGCUUCAGGUCUGUUGUAGACUUUAGUUCUUCGUGAUCGCAUAUAAGGGGCUCCAAUCGCAUAGGCUUAUUUGAGGGAAUGGUCAGAGUUUGUUCUACGCGAUCGCAUGAGUCAGGUUGCGAUCGCGUGACUUUGUGUUGCAUAGCUUCGCGAUGUCGUGUGUUAAGUUGUGAUUGCUUGAGGUUGAGUAGUAUAGCUUCGCAAUAACGUGAAGCAUUUUGCGAUCGCGUAUGGUAAGUUGAGGGGAGUCCAUUUUGUGCUUCACGAUCGCAAGUCUAAUGCCGCAAUCGCGAUUAAGGAAAUACCUGGGCAUAUAUAAGAUUUUAAAAUCGAGGGUUUAGCCAUUUUUAUCAAAACUUAAGCUUGGGAGUUCGAAUUUGAGCGAGAUUUUGAGGGAUUUUCAGAGCUAUCGAUUGGGUAAUGAUUCUAAACUCUCUCUUGCUUGUAACCCAUUAAUCUAAGCAUGAAUUCAUCCUUUAAUUUCUGAUUUUAAAUUAAAAUUGGGGAAAGUUCUUGUCCUAGAAAUUGAGUUUUGAUUGUGUUUUUGACAUCCGAUUUGAGAGAUUUUUAUAUUAUUAGACUCGUGAGAGUACAAGGUUUCUGAAAAUGUUAAUUUCACCUGAUUCCGAGACGUUGGUCUGAGGGGCAUUUUGGUCAUUUUACAUAAUUAGCGUAUUAGCUUAGAAUUUACUUGUAGAAUAAGUUAUUUGAAGUGUUAUUUACAAUAUGCAAUUGAAUAAAUAUAAUUGGGCCAUUUGGAGUUGGAUACUCGUGGCAAAAGUGUGGUUUCGAGUUGAUUUUGAGCCGGUUCGAGACAAGUGGCUUGUCUAACCUUGUGUGGGGGACCUUCCCCUUAGGAAAUGAUACUUGAUAGUUGAAAUGCCUUGUAUGUAAUGUGACGAGCGCGUACUUGAGCUAAUUGUUGAAAAUCCUGUUUACUUUAAGUAUUUAACUGAAUUCCUUUCUUACCUGUUUUCAUUCUACUUGCAGACUUAGCCCAUUGUUAGUUAGAAAAGCAUGCUUAUUGAACCUAAUUGCCUAUUUGCUUAACUUCCUUAAAUUGUAUUAUGUGAAGAAUGUUAGGCUAGAAUUAAGUUUUUACUUAUACGAAGUUGGCAUUUAAUUUAAUUUUCUGGUGUUGCUGUUGUGUAUUUUAAAUUGGGACUACGGGACGGCAUCCCGGGAGAUCCCCUGAAUGAGAUUAUGAUUUUGGACUGAGGUGUAGAAAACCAAGAGAUCUUUGGCACAUGUAUUGAGGAUAUUGAGAGAUACUUGGGAUACUAAGAGAUCCGUGUCAUUAAUAUUGAGGAUACCAAGAGAUCCUCAAGAUACCAAGAGAUACAUGGCAUUUAUAUUGAGGUUACCAAGAUGUUACACCCCAUUUUUUCGUACGUGAGAGUACGUCGUAAGUCAAUUGACGUAAGCUCAGGAAUAAGAUUCUAUUGGAAGCAAAUAUAAUAAGUUAAUCAUGUUACCUUAGAGGUUACAAAUAUUUAAGGUCAUGAAUAACAAGUACCAAGANNNNNNNNNNNNNNNNNNNNNNNNNNNNNNNNNNNNNNNNNNNNNNNNNNNNNNNNNNNNNNNNNNNNNNNNNNNNNNNNNNNAUAGGGAACAUAUAUGGUUGGAAAGGCUUAGAAGCUAAGCAAAUUGCAGGAAAUAAGUUUCGUCGAAAGUCGAUAAGUUUGGAAUUUUAUAACUUGCACUUUAGGGUGAGACUAGGGUUAUUAAUUUGAUAAGGAGGUUAUGUUAUAAGUUAUUUAAGGUUUAUGAUAGUCGUGUGUUAUGUUUUGGAGUCAAGCGAGUUGUGGAACAGAAGUUGGCAAAGGUCAUCACAAGUUGCAUUUAUAAAUGUGCUAAAAAUUAGGUCAAAUGUAGUGGAGCUUUUGUCACAAUAUACUUGGAAGUACGGGAUGAGCCACAUCUCAAAUUGAAGAUAUAUGAGCAUAAUUUCUUAUGCAUUAAACGGUUUGUCAAUACGAUAUCAGAGUAGAGAGAUAUUUGCAGUUUCACAAGACUGCAUAGACUGCAUAGUUAACAAAAAGGUAUGACACUAAAGCUCUUUGAGAAAUACAUUUCGUGUAUUAUAUGAGGUCUUUAUGGGAUAUAUUAUAUAUAAAAUUAAAGUUCUUGGAAUCUAAUUUCUAAUGCUAUUAACCGUUUUCUCAUACGACAGCCGGAUAAAAAGUUAUAAGCGUAGGAAUAUGAACAAAUGCUAGGGUGCCAAGUAGCACCUUUUUGACUUUUCAACCAAAAUGGAUAUUUAUAUUCCUAUGUCGUCUCUUUCUUCAUAAUUCCAGAUAGCUCGACCAAAUAAGACCCCUAACCUUCUUUCAAGCUUUCCACAAGGGUUUCCAACAAGAUUAUCAUUCGGGGCACGAAAUCAAGUGGUGAUAACAUUAAAACGAUCCCUAUAACGUAAGUAUCGCUACAUUGCCUCUCUGUUUCUUUGUAGUUUGAGUUUUGGAAGGAAUUUAAUAGUUAGGAAAAUGAAUUAUUUCUGUACUUAAGCUUUUAAAUAUGAAGGAAAUUUGAUAAAUUCAUUUCUAUUAGCUAGAACUCACGGGACGGUGAAUAGAAGCUGUGAGUUCGAAUUAUUCGACUUGUUGUGGGCUGUUUUGUCAGCCGUUUCGUGUUGCUAUUGGAUAUUACCUUUUGCUACUGAUUUACUAACAACCCAAUUGAUAUUAUAACAUCAUAAUAGGCCCAAUAAAUGAAAUAAACUACAAAGUCACAAAAUAACCAUAGUGGGCCUAAGAUAGGCCCAAAGUAUACCCAACUCGGCCAAACCUUCAAUUUUAUAUCCCUGUAGGUUUCACCAUAGCCCAUAAGUCACAGUCAAUCCAACACAAAAUAGCCAUAAACAAUAGACAUAGUUGAUCACAGGAUCCAGAAAUUGGCUAUUUACAUAUGCCCAUUGGCUUAUUCGAUAGGUAGAAAAGGGGCAGAAUGAAGCUGUUAGGACAAAGUGCCAAAGAACCUUUGACCAUAGUGUGUCAGAGUUCACAAGGGUCUCUAUUGGACUCCGAGCAGCGCUCACACAAGGAAGGUAAAUGAUAGAACCUAGGUAGCCUUGGCUUUCAACUGGCUAAGAAUGAGAACUCAAAAGAACCCAGGUAAAAAGUUAAAGGGAUUAAACAAAGGUUGAGGGAAAACAUUAAGCGAUACAAACAUAGUCAAUUUGAGCACAUAAAGAAGAUAAUAGAAUAUGCCUUUGGUUUCAAAAAUAGACUUUGUAAAGAUUCAGAAGAACAAGUUCAACGCCUAGUGCAUAAGUAGUCACACAUUAAAAGAACAGAUUUGCAGGAUUGGUGUACACAGACUCAUAGUAAGGAAAAGGUUCAAAUUAUGCUAAAUAUAUGUCCUAGUGUUACAAGAGAUUAUAAUAUUAAUUGGUAACAUAAUUUAGAUAGGAUGAGAAUAGAUCAUUUCAACUACUAGGAAGUCAAGACAUGCUAGAAACAUACUAAUAGGGAACAUGAUCAAACAUGAUAUAUAGGAAGAUAUCAUCACAAUAAAUUAAUAAUAGGAUAGGUAAAAGUCUUAUGCCAUAUAGUGAAUAUAUACAUUCGUGGUUCCAACACAAUCUACUAGUCUAUAAAAAGGGAUACCAAUUAUGUAUGUAAAGCAUUUUCAAGUUAUAUGUUUGAUAGCACAAUUAAACAACAAAGAUAUGCUAUAAUACAAAGGUCCUAAGCAUCAGUAAGUUCAAACAAAAGGACUAAAUAAGAUAUAAAUGAAUCUAAUUUACUCAGAUCAAGUUUAGGCAUGAUUUAAACUGCCAAUAUGAAGCUAAGAGUUAAGGGGAGCUAAAAUUGAAGUAGAACAAACAGAAUUGUACACAAAACAACUCAGAAGAACUCAUUAAGCAAAAGUUUAGGGGUGAAAACAUAUGCAAAUUACAGAUACAUAGGAAUGAAACUACGAAGUCCAAUAACUCACCACUUUAGCAAAAAAAAAUAAAGAACAAAAGUCCACAGUAUUCUGAAUACCAACAUAGAGCAAGAACCUAGAACUUCAGUGGCCUUGGCUUUCAGCCAGCCAAGAACCAGAGUAUAGAACAAGACAAUCAGAGAACAAAGAGCAAUAACUUCUGUUUCUUAUAAAGGACUUUACGAUUCAAGUCUGUCUUAAAGGGGAAUAAGGUCGGGUUUAUAUAGUAGCAGAAAUUUAGAAAGUAAACAAGGAAAUAGUAAAAUAAAACCUCAAAAAGCAGUAUUAUCCUGGAAAAUCAAUAAAAAUCAGAUUUAGGAAAAAAAAUAGGUAAACCACUGUUGAUAGAAAAUAGAAAUUCCCCGAAGAACCUGGCCAAUCGAACCUAUAUAGCCUUGAUAAAAAUGUAUAUAGACGAGAUUUUGUCCAAAUUCAAGCGAUUGAAAUUGAAUGGAUCUAAAUUUGAGAGAUGGUACUUGCCAAGUUUAGGCAAGUACCAAGUGAUGCCAUAGUCUUACAAGUAAUCCUGAGAUAACACAUAAAAGAAACGAAAAUCAUGGAAGGGAUCCAUGAUCGAAACAGAUUAGGAGACGAGUGAGAGGGCAGCUAGGAUUUCUGGGGAAGGGAGGAGUGUUUGAGGGAGGUUGCUAAAGAGAGAAUGGGAUUAGAGUUUGGGUAAGGGGAUAUAAUGUGGGAAGUUUUAUGAGUCGUUCAUUAUUUUUUAAUCAACGGCUGGGAUUAAAGCAGGUUAGGGUCGGUUCUUUGAAUUGGGUUAGGAAAUUGGGUCAUUUAGGCUGAUGAGUUUGUUGGCCCAGGGAUUUAUUUGGACCUUAAUGAUCCGAAAUUAAUCCCAAUUUCGGGCCAAAUUUUGAAAAUAGAUAAUUGAGGAAAGUAAUUUAAAUAAAAAUACUUAAAUAAGAUAUAAAAAUGCUAUUUAUGAAAAUUAAAAUUUUAAAAUAAUACUAGAAGAUUAUAAAAAUGUAAAUUAUUCUUUUGACUUUGAAUAAGAUAAAAAAUGUAAUACAAUUGUAAAAUACAUACUAUUAUUGCAAGGUUGUGCAAAUAGCCUGAAAAAUACUAAAGUAAUUAUAUAAAAUCAGAUAAAAUAAUUGAAACAUAUAUUAUCAAUUCAAAGAUAAUGAUUUUUGGUUACUGAGUCACCCAAAAAAUCAAUUUGAAGGAAUAAUUAAAAAUUAUUCAAAUUAUUUAAAUGCAGAAAAAUCAAUUUAAAACUCUAUAAAAUUUUUGAAAAUUGUUGUAUGGAUUUGUAAACUAAAUAAUGAUGCAAAAUUGAUGUUUUGCAAGUAUAUAAGUAUAUGUGUGUGUGUGUAUAUAUAUAUAUAUAUAUAUAUAUAUAUAUAUAUAUAUACUGAAAACGCUUGAGACAAGAUUGGGUAUCAACAGCUACCCCUCUUUACCCAGAAAUGUUGAAAUGGUUAUCAGAUAAAUAAAAAUGAUGUCAAAUUUUGGCCUAAUUGAAUGUGGGAUGAUGUGAUUUAGAAACAUGGGGGCCGAACCCUAGUUCCUAAGUUGCCUACUUAUCCCUGGUAUUACGGGAAUCAGGCCGCGUAUAAUUCUGGAUCCAAAAGUGAACAAAACCAAUGGUGCUGUUAUAGAAAUGGCCGUUUGUUUCUAAAAGGGUUCAUUUGGGGUAGGAAAAUAUCAGAUGAAUUUAUGCAGAGUUAUCAAUGUGAAUUUGAGACAUUAUGGAUGUACCACAGAGCAAAUAUUUGAAUGGUCAUAGAAUAGAGAUAGACAGUUACUGGUGGUUGGUUACAUUUGAAACAAUUGCAAGAUAUGGAUGUUAUUAAUGGAAACAAGAGCAAAGAUUGCUCCCAUUUGAAGAACAGUUACUUCCGGAAUUACCUACAAAACUUAAAACACGAUACAUGAAAAUAUAUAUGGGUUAUUUCAAUAAUUUAAACAUGAUUCAAAUUUCCUUUGGACCAUGAAGUUUGUCUUUGGACAGUGAGGAGGAUGUCCUUGGACCAUGACGUCCCGGGCCAUGAAUCAUGAGAUAAGGAAUUUGCAGGCCAUGAAAUGAUGCUCUAGGGUUAUGAAAAUAGUGCCUAUGAACUAUGACACCUUUGAAUAAUGAUGUGUAAUAUUGAGAGAUUUUCAGGCUAUGACACGGUGUCUUCAGGCUAUAAGGAUGAUGCCUUCGGACUAUAGAGCCUUUGGACAAGAUGGAGAUGUUUCAGCCCGUGAGGUGCAAAGAUGAUGCAAGGUCAUAUAUGAAGUAAAACAAGACAAAUUUUAGUCUUAUUGAAAGAUUGGGGUAGAGCUUAGCCCUGGAAAAAAAAAUAGUGCUAGAUUUCAAGUAGCAUAACAUUCGAUACUAUGCAAGGAAAGGUAAAGCUCAACCUUAUAUAGUUGAGGAGGAAGGUCUUUUCCUCAUACUAUUAUGGAGGCAAUGCUUAGCCUCAUGCAAGAAAUGGAGACAGUGAUUAGCCUCAUGCAAUUAGGAGACAAUGCUUAGUCUCAUGCAAAUGCAUGUAAUUCUUAGCCUUAUGCAGUUUAGGAGGCAAGACUUAGCCUUGUGCAAAAUGGGAGACAAUUCUUAGUCUUAUGCAAUUAAAGGAGACAUGGCUUGGUCUCAUGUAAUGGAAGGCAGUGCUUAGCCUUAUGCAAUUUAGGAGGAAAGGCUUAGCCUCAUGCAAAAUAUGAGACAAUGCUUAGUCUUAUGCACGAAAAGGCAAUGGUUAGCCUUAUGUAGUUGAGGAGGCAGGGCUUAGCCUUAUGUAAAAGACAAUGCUUAGUCUCAAGCAGGGAAAGGAAAUGCUUAGCCUUAUUCAAUUAAGAAGGUAUGGCUUAGCCUCAUGAAAAAUGCGAGACAGUGCUUAAACUCAAGCAAUUAAAGGAGACAGAGCUUUGUCUCAUGCAACAGAAGGCGAUUCUUAGCCUUAUACAAUUGAGGAGGCUGGUUAUAGCCUCAUGGAAAAAUAGAAGAUAAUGCUUAGUCUCAUGCAAGGAAAGGUAAUGCAUGAUAGCAGAGUAUUUCUUAGCUGGAGAUGUGUUUGCAUUUGGCAGCUUUGUCAUUAUGAAGAUAGUGAUUUUUGAUGUGUCUACGUAUUUGCGAUCAUUCAUUGUUACUACAACCAAAGCAAAAUCGUGAGUAUCACGCAGAAGUUUGGUUCGUUCCUUCGCCUGCUUCCUUUGUUUGCCUUUGCUCUAUUAUCGAGAUCCUACUCAAUUUACCAUAGGCAGCAUUUGGCUGUUUAUGAAAGUAAAGUUUUUGAAACAAAAUAUGCGUGCAUUUGAUGAACAUAGUUUUUUAAAAACCAUAAUAGUAUACAAUGUUAAGUAAAUUAGAUUAACCAAUGACUACGAAACUUUGGAGACAUUGUGACUUCUUUGCACUAGAAUUUUGAGUGUCCUCAAAUUUCGGCCCCAGUUUAAUAGGCAAUUCUUUGAUCAUUCUACAUAUGAUGGAAUUGGAUGGACUUACCCUCAAAAUUCUGCCUUAAUUAGAGAAAAUGAGGAUUUUAUUAAGAUGUGAAUGAACCCACAUGGAUUCCUACAUAUUCCCUCUUAGAAUCAGGUUAAGUGUAGUUCCAUUACAUUAGAGGAAGAAACUGAAACAAUCUAAACAUAGUAUAUUUUGACUAUGUCUGAAUUGAUAGGCUUUGGCCAAAUCUCUCCAUCCAUUCCUGCAUGUAUGAGUGCUCCUCCUAUUAGUACUCUGCGAACCAUGUAGGUCCCUUUCUAAUUGACUUAAAAUUUCCCUUUGGCUUUAUCUUGAUGCGGGAAGAUCCACUUGAGCACCACCGCCCCGGUGUGAACGGCCUAGGUCUGACCUUUUUGUUGAAUGUUGUAGACAUUAUGUUCUGGUAAAGUUGACUAUAGAAUACCAUAUUCAUUCUUUUCUCGUCAAUGAGAGCCAAUUGUUCAUAGUGACUCCGUAUAUAUUAUGCGUCACUGAGUUUAGCUUCUAGUCAUAAUAUUAAAGAAGGAAUUCGAACUUCGGUGGGAAUGAAAGCUUCAGUACCAUAGACUACAAAGUAGGGGAUUGCGCUGAUAGAUGUGUGAACUAUGUUAUGGUACCCCAGUAACGCAAAUGGUAAUUUCUCAUGCCAUUUCUUGUGGUUAUCUACCAUCUUUUUCAAUACUUUCUUGAUAUUCUUGUUUGCCGCCUCCAUCGAUCUAUUCAUUAGACGCCUAUAGUUUCUGGAAUUCUUAUGCUUUAUUUUGAAGGUUUCAAACAUGGAUUUCAUUAAGUGACUAUUGAUGUUGGCGGCAUUGUCAGCAAUGAUGGAUUCUGGUACCCCAGAUGGACAAAUAAUACGAUCCCUUACAAAAUCUGCAACGACUUUCUCGGUUAUAGCCUUGUAAGAUGCAACCUAAACUCAUUUUUGAAAGUAGUCAAUGGCUACUAAAAUGAACCUGUGCCCUUUCAUAGCGGCAGGCUCGAUCGGGCCGAUGACAUCCAUUCCCCAAGCGUAAAAGGCCAAGGUGCACUCAUUGCACUUAGUUAAUUUGGUAGUACAUGUAUCAUAUCUGCAUGUAUUUUGCACUGAUGACACUUUUGGAUAUACUCGAUGCAGGCUGUUUCAAUAGUCAUAAAAUAUAUCAUGCCCUCAAUAUCUUUUUGGCUAGAACGAAACCCGUUCAUCUGUGGUCCCUAAGUUCCGGCAUAUAUCUCAUUGAGCAGUUUGAAAGCUUCCUUGGCAUCAACACACCGUAAUAAUCCUAGGUAUGGAGUCCUUCUAUAUAGAAUUCCUCUACUUUGGAAUAAAUUAUUGGAUAAUCUUCGAAGUAUGCGAUUUUGAGUAUGAUUUGCAUGCUCCGGGUAUUCUCCUUUUGCCAAGUAUUUCUUGAUAUCAUAGAACCACGGAUUCCCAUCCGUUUCUUCUUCAACAUGAGCACAAUGGGCUGGAUGAUUAUAGAUUCCUAUUGGAAUACGAUCGGUGAAAUUCUUUUCCGGGUGCUGUAUCAUGGAGAACAAAUAGCCAAUGGGUUUGCAAAAUCAUUAUGGAUUCUCCAAACAUGUUUGAACUCUAUCUUUGUGAAUCUAUUCAUCGACUCCUGCACAUGAUACAGAUAUGGUAAUAUUAUGGUAUUCUUUGUAGCCCAUUCUCCUAAAACCUGAUGUACUAGAAGGCCUGAAAAACCAAUAACUAGCAAUUCCUGGAUAAUCAUGUCAAUGGCCAAAUUGAGCCCCAAGAUGCAAGCCUCAUAUUCUGCCAUAUUAUUGGUGCACAGAAAUCUGUAUUAUAAGGAUAGCAGGUGUCGCGGCCCCUUUUUCCCUUUACGUGGAGGAGUUCGGGUUUUGAUAUUCAUGGGGUGUAACGACUCAAUUUUUUUGGGAAUUGGGUAUUUGAAGUGUUUCCACAUCACGAAUUAAGGUGCGCUAGGGCACCUAGAGUAGUAACUCUUAGGUUUGUUCGCAUUACCAGAGAUUAGGGUAAGGGCUCGAGGUAACCUUGAGGGAAAGGUGUUAGGUAUCUCUCUUGAUCCACAACUGUGGGUUCUGACCGAAAUUAUAUUUACAAAUUAGUCCAUACAAGUAAUUGAAUCAAAUACGUUGUUUGUAAAGAACAUUGAACAAUUCAAGUAGCGAAAUAAUGGUUGAACAAAUUAUAAAAACAAAGUAUUAAACGGGGAGAGGGUUUGAGGUAAGGAGAGGUCCUAGGUUGUUUUUCCUAUAGGCUCACCUCAUGCAAUGUCCGGUACACACUCCUUAACGAUGGACUACACGUGACAUUAAUUCUUAGACAUUAUAUCUCUUGUCUAUCCUUCUAAUCCCCUUAUUGGUCAUGCAAAGCGAGUUUUUGGUCAUUGAUACCUAUUGCGUGCUUCUACCCGUCCCUUCCUAAAGGUCCUAGAGGAAGUUAGGACCUUUACUUAUAGGUGGUUCUAAAUGUACCCUUAAGGUUUUAAAGGAAAAAAUCUAAGUUCACAUAAUGGGAGUAAUUAAGAGGCUCACAAUUUCCUCCUCAAACAAACAUACAAGUAGCACGACAAACAAAGUUAAGGUCUUUAUUAAUCAAAGUUCUAAAGUAGGAUUUCUAAGUGAUCGUGCAGAAAUAGACCACUUUUAGAUUCAGAGUAUUACCUAGUAGUAUCCUAGAGACUUUUUUUAAUAGCUUAUUAGAAUCAGAAACGUUGAACGAUAGAAAUAACUUCAAGGAAAUGCAAGUUUUGAAAAUGCCCUAAGGCUUGCCUAUAAGCUGUACUGUGUCUAUAUUAAUGUAGAGACAAACAAGUUUUCAAAAUAGACCCUUUUAAUAUAGGUAGGAUAUCUAAUAAGGUGAAAGCAAAUAUAUAAGAACUAGUUUCAGGAAAUGUCAUCACUUAAUAAGACCAAUUUUAAGAAGAAAACUAGGAGAAACGAAAUUGACUUAUUAGGCUAAAUAGAUUACCACAUAGGCAUGGUAUCUAGGUGCAUUAAAGGUUUAGUUAAUUUGCAGUAACAUAUGAAGGACUUAUUAGAAUUGAAUUAGAAUUAGGCCCUAUAGAAAUGGUAUCUAUAUUUGAAUGGAUUUAAGACGCGAUUUUUUGAAAACCUAUGAACAUGAUUUCUAACAUGACAAAAAUGCAGGACCUUAACAACAUGAUUUCUACUUGAUGCAAACGACAUUGGAAGUGAAAACCUAUAGGCAUGAUGUGUAUUAUGCAAACAAAAUUAAAAGUGGAAUCCUAUAGGCAGGAUCUCUAUUAUAAAAAGAAAUCAAAUUCAACAAGAAUAAAACCCUAUGAGCAUGUUUUCUAUCGAGUAAAGCUGACAGAUUCGAUGUAAAACCCUGAGAGUAGGAUUUCUACCCAUAUUACCUCACAAAGUAUAAAUCUACCCACCCUUUUUAAUAAAUAUUCCAAAUAUCUAUUUACCAAUUAUUACCGUUCAAUAAAUGAAUUACAUAAGUAAAAUAGAAAAUCAAGAAGCUAUCCUACAAAGAGCCUGCAAUCAAGUCCAAGUUUCCCAAAGCCUCCAAUGGUCUUACAAGCCUCAUUUACUUAGACAAAUCAGAGUCUAGAUGCAUCAAAAGUUCCAUAAGGGUCUCAAGGACCUCGUGCAAUGCUUACACCUAGAUUUAGAAGCCAAGCAUCUAACCAGUGCAGUGUGGAAAGGAUAGCCUCAAUAUGCCAGAGUUUAGAGGGUUCUCAAGAGGAUCCCAAGGUAGUACAUAUACUCGAGGGGGAAUAUCUUAUUAACUAAGAGUAAAGUAGACGUGCAGGACACAUGUUGAAAGAAACUUAUUAAAGACUGGACUUAAAAGCCUCUUUUGAAAGAAAUUAGUAAAGCAAUAGAGGUUGUUGGAGAGAGGUUGGAGUCUUAAACAGAACCGAACACUUCAUGAUAGGAUCACAAAUAUAAUCCAACUAAAUUUAGUAGUCAUACAUGGGUCAAAAGGUUUAGGGAUACACAAACAUUUGACUGCAAACAGAUAACCCCAACGAAGGUAUAUAGACUAGUUUGGACAUGCUCUGAAAUAGUUGAAACUAGCAUAAUCACAAACAAAUCAGGGAGAACAUAAACACAUAGAGGGGUAUAGGGAUUUGGAAUUCAUAGGAAUGGUGAGCACACAGUAGGUAGAAAACAAUUGUCCAGCCAUGCUUGAAUCACACAAGGGAAUACAUGAAUUUAAAGGGAGAGGAUUCAUACCAGCAUGCUGAUAAUAUAACAUAACAACAAACUUCACAACAGAAUCACAAGUAAAAGCAGGCUAGAAAUAAAAAAAACUAAAGAAAGAAGAGAAUAUGUUGUUGUUGAGGCUUUAAAUUAAACUAGGACAUACCAGUGAAGAUAGAAGUAAGCAGAAUGAAAGAACCAAAGAACACAAAUGAUUAGUCUUGGCUUGCAGCCGACUAAUAGUAGCAAAAUAACACAAGGAUGAAGGGAGAACAUAUAUUUUUAAUAAGAGGAGAGUUUUUGAAAGCAAAGUGUUCGAGUCCUAUUUGUGAAAGACUUAAGAGUAUUUAUAGUUGAAAGUAGGUAGUGGAAUAAGGUAAAAAUCAUAGUAGUACACUAAUUUAAUAACUCAGAAUUAAUUAAUUAGAGAAUCAAGGAAGUGCUUCCUUAAGUUAAGGGAAUCAUUAUCAAACUGAAAUAUUCAGUACCGUAUAAAGCAGGAAGAAAAAUUAGUGAAUGAUUAAAUAAGGAAGGAGUCAAGGUUCAGUAGGCAUAGAGUAGUCAAUUAGGACCAAAUUCAGAAAAACCCAAUUAAGGAAAGAAUCAGUAAAACAAAGUACCAUAGUAGAUAUGGUAAUGAAAUCAGUUCAUUUAAACAGACGAGGUAAAGCUUCUUGGGAUUUUAAAAAAGAUCUUUCAAUCACUAAAUUAAGAAAAAUCAGAAUCAAUCAUGGGGAGUCAUGAUUCUGUACUUUCAACAUAAAAAUAGAGACAAAUGAACAUGAGUAGCAAACAAAAAAGGUCAGCCAUAUAGACAGAAAGAAAUAAAAGAUGAGCAAACCAAUCAUGUAGAGUUGACAUAAGUAGGCUAAUGUUCAGCAAAACAUAUUUGAAGCAUGGUGACCACAAAAUAUUAAUGAGAAUCAAGUAAUCAGGCUAACACACAGAGCUAGGGAAAAGAAAAUCAUAGUAGCACACAUAAACAAAGUAAAGAGAAUCAUGCUAACAUACAGAAACAAAGUAAAGGGAAUCAUGCUAACACACAGAAACAAAGUAAAGAAAAUCAUGACAACACAAAAAAAAAA
rnacentral:lncRNA from 1 species